UUACUCCUUUCUUUUCUUCGCCCUCGGUUUCGUGAUGCUCCACCACACUCUCCGAUACUGGUACCUGGAUGGUGCUGACGACUGGUACGUCAUGAUCCUCUGUUUCCUUGUCGUCGUGGUGGCCUGGAAGCUUCUCUUUGAUCUUAUCCAUUACCCCUUUCUUCUCUUCUUCUCCUUCAACGGUCUUCUUCUUUUUCUUUUCCUCACCUUCUUCAUCGCUUGACUGUUAGAUAUUCAAACCAUGAGUAUGAUUAUUACUUCAGCUCAAUCAAGAUCGAUUAAUAAAUCUCUUAUCAUAUAAUCUCUUAUCAUAAAUCUUUACUUACAGAGGAAGAAGAGCUGUUGGAUCGGUGAAGCUUUUCGAUGACACUAGGCUUGUUCUCCUCAUCUUCUUCGGUCUUCUCCUGAAGCUCCUCGAGGAGAGUAAUCUUGUUCUCCUUCACUUCCUCGUGCUCCGCAGCUAACGCCGGUUCUGAGAUCUGAGCCUUAUGGUCGAACUCAGACUCGAGCGUCGUAGUCUCUUGAGGUUUCACUUCCUCUUUCUUCUUGCUCAAGAAAUCGAACAUCCCACGAUCCGUAACCUCUGGUGUAGUAGUAGUGGUUGAUGGCUCUUCUGUUGUUGCAACCUUUGGGGUCUCGUGCUCGGGAACGUUGUUCUUGUAUUCUUCCGCCAUAGUUAUAAUCUGAAUGGAUUGAAACGGUUUGAUAAACAGAAAAUUUAAAGAACUUUGAAGUUGCUAAAAAAGAUUGGUUUUGAAGAGGUAUGUGUGAGAUGAUGAGUAUCGAUGUUUGAGAUGAGAGAAGAGAAGAGAGUUGGGUUUUAUAUAGUGUGUGUGAACUGUGAAGAGAAGGGUCCAGGCCAACGCGGAGGUCACGCUGUAAAGAUUUAAUUAUUUUUCUAAUAAAGCAAAGUAUCGAUGGAUAUUUAUUUUAUUUUAAAUUGCAGGAUGACCCCAAUUGUUUAAGUCGGUAGCUGAAUAUCAUGAUAUCACCACUUUUUUUUUUUUCUCUUAAGAUAAAGGAUUACAAUGUUAUUAAAAUAUUAGAUGAAGAGUUAAACUAAUAUUAGAUAUUAGCAUAGUCAUGUACUUUUCAUCUACAGGGAGCUGUAUCGGACGAACUAUGGUUUCGUGGCCCAAGUGCCACCUUGUAAUUUUAUUAUAUGAUUUAAAAAUAGAUAACAGAUGUACAUAUAAGUAAAGAGUGUUUGGAAUAGACUAGGAAUAUAAUUUAGUGGUUUGGAAUUUGGUUUUGAUGUUAUGUCACCAUCCUUAUUCAAACCUUUUGUAAGGCGAAAAAAAAAAGAACUAAGUAGACAACUCUUACAAUUUUGAACAUUUCUUUUAUAAUGUUUUUGUAUAAAAACUUUUUUGAUCAUAUCCCUCUAUGUUGAAUAAUUCUCUAUAGAUGUUCAAACUUAUAAAGAGAUGUUUUCGACUCUUUUAAAGACUUUGUGGUUAAAUCUGUAAAAUAGGGUAAAAUUACAGUACCUUGUUAAAAAAGUUAUCAUUACAAUAAAAUAAAGAGGAAAUAAUUAACUAUUAACAGCUUUUAACAAAACCAUAAAAUUCACGAUUCGUGGCAAUACAUCAUUGAUACCUCUGAUAAGAAGAAACGUUAAAAAACCGAAGUAGAAGAAAAAUGAGAAUAAUGAAGAAAGGCAUCAAAUUUCAACCAAUAUAUGAGCAACACGUGUCUUAAGAGGUGUGAAAAGGGAACUCAAUGGUCGGUUUUGAUUGGCUAAAACCAAUGGAUGUCGGUCAUCUCGGCCUACUGAUUUGUAGAUAUUUUUUUGAGUGUUAAAUUACUAAUUUGACAUUACCUCUUAAUCAAAUUAAAAAACGUUACCAAAAAAGAUAUUUACAUAUAUGCAGCAAACUAAAUUUUUGUUUCGUAGUCAGAUAUUUAUUUAUGCGCGAUGAUGAUGUCCUUUUUUUUAUUGUAUAUAAAACAAGAUUAAACAGAUGGUGGCAUUUGAGAACGCACAAAUUUCUUUUUUUUUUGUUUGGUUAAACUCAUUAAAUAAUGAUUAAUGAAUCGUGUUCAGUUGAAAGAUUUAAGACGUCGUGCCACAUUUUAAUAAAUUGAGACGUUUCAUGAACACGCGACCCGUUGUUUAUUAGCAGGGCCAAAUUUUUAAGAAAUUUUAGGUGUUGGGGCUGUCACUCUACCGACACAUACCAAACAAAGCAAUCGUUUUCGUUGCCAAAAUUUGGUUUAAUUAAUUUGUCGUCUUACCCAAAAUCUAUACUCCAUUUGUAAAUGUUUUACGACAUAGCAUAAAAGUUUGUGCAUCAGAUUUAAACCGUCAGCCAAAAUUGUCCAUAUUUCCAAAUAAUAAAAUAUGGAAGUAGGAAAAAUGAAUGGAGAUGUAAUCGAAAAACAAAUACAAUAUUGAAUCUCAUAUUGUAUAGACCAAUAUCAAACCGGUUUUAUGUAUCUGAAAACCCAAAAAAAAAAAAAAACCAAUACCAUAUCAAAUCAUUGGGGACUAAAUAUGCAGCACUGCCAUUUAUAAGUUGUGCCAAUGGUUUACCAAUAAGGUUACCAAAACGGAUCAAUCAAAGCCUACGGUUCUGUUUGACAACAAGCACAUGAUGCACACACUUAUAUGGCCUGAUUAUGCGUCUUUUUUUUUUUUUAUCAACAUUGGGCCACAAUUGGUCGGCCCAUUAGCCAAAUCCCUACAAAUAUGUAGGGAGCGGGAUUCGAUCGGUGGUGUGAUGGUGUCUGUCCAACAGUGGACUUAUCAAUUGCCACUAGACUAAGGACACUUCACGGCCUGAUUAUGCGUCUAUCUCCCUUUUUCUUCAGUGUGCAUGUUGCGUGGGUUUCAACUUUGAACCCUGAUUUGGUGAAACGAUAAUGAUACUAUACACUCCUUACAAAUUUUGAAACGUUGGUUCCACGGUUCGUUUACUAGUUACAGUAAGUAAUCCCUACGUUCAUUUGUGUAAAACAAUACUAUAUAUAUAUGUCUGAUCUUGUACUACCAUUAUAUAAAUGGGUGUCUUUUGAAAUGUUUUAUGGGUGUAUCUCCCUAAAUCGAUAGUUUAAAGAUUUCCCAAUAUCAAGCGUAUGCAUGAUCAGAUUUAUACAUGAGAAAACAUCGCACACAAUAUAAAGACCCCAUUGAUUUUUAUGAAAAACAAAUUUUUAAAGAUUUUUUUUUUUUUUUGGACAAAAACAAUUUUUAUAGAUUAAAACACAAAUGAUACAUAAACUUUGCGACAAGCAUAAGAAAAAGAGAAAAGAGAGAAUGAUAACGAAAACACAACAAACGUCCCACACUCCCACUCCCAUAUCACAUUAUUGAUCAUGUUUAAUUACUUUUGCUUAAGCAGACUCUUUAUCUUUCUUCUCCUCCUCUGUCUUGGCAUGAUAACCUGGAAGCUUCUCUUUGAUCUUAUCCAUGAAUCCCUUCUUUUCCUCCGGAUGCUCAGCUAUGGGAGUUGCCGUUUCAACCAGCGGCGUGGUGUUGACGACCUCUGAGUCCUCUGGUUUCUUGCUGUGGCCAGGAAGCUUCUCCUUGAUCUUAUCCAUUAGUCCUUUCUUCUCUUCUUCCUCUGGUUUUUGAUGCUCUACCGAGUGUGGUGCUGGCAUGCUGGUGACGACCGGUACGUCAUGACCCUCUGGUUUUUUCUCGCCGUGAGGAAACUUCUCUUUGAUCUUAUCCAUCACUCCUUUGUUCUCUUCCUCUGUUUUCUCAUCUCCUUCAAGGAUCUUUUUCUUCUCCUUCUUCUUCUUUCUCCUCUCACCGUCUUCACCUUCUUCAUCGCUCGACUGUUCAAAGAAAUUCAUAUUUCAAAACCAUGAGUUUCUUUGUUUCCUUGCUAACCACAAAAAGCUAACAAACUAAUAAAAACUUUUACUUACAGAAGAAGAAGAGCUGUUGGAUCGGUGGAGUUUUUUGAUAAGACUUGGCUUGUUCUCUUCUUCCUCCUCGUGCUUCUGGUGAAGCUGCUCGAGGAGAGUAGGCUUAUGUUCCUUCUGUUCCUCUUCUUCGUGCUUCGCCACGAACGGCUCUGGUUCAGAGAUCUGAGUCUUGUGCUCGAACUCGGACGCGAGAGUAGUCGUCUCUUGAGGCUUCACUUCCUCCUUUUUCUUCAAGAAAUCGAACAUUCCCCGUUCCUUAAUCUCUGGCGCUGCCGUUGAUGACUCCUCUGUUGUUGCGACCUUAGGGGUCUCGUGCUCGGGAACGCUGUUCUUGUACUCUUCCGCCAUAGUGUUAACCUUGAAUUGAAUGAACGGUUUAAAGAAAAAUAAUAAACAGAAACUUGGAAAUUCGAUUUGAGCUUUUAAGUUGCUUUUACGAUAGUUUUGAAGAGCUGUAUGAGUAAUGAGUAUUAAUGCGACGAGUAGGGGGAUUUAUAUAGUGUCAAGAGAAGGGUCCAGGCCAACGCGGAGGUCACGCUGUUUAAGAUUUUAAGUUUUGAAAAAAGUAAAGCAAAGGACGAAUACUAUUUCUUAAAUUGCAGAAUGAACCCCCAUUUCUAUGACGUCGGUGGAUGAAUUGAAUAGUAUGUGUGUGAACGAUAUUAUUAUAUGAUAUUGAUAUAUAUAAAUGAAGAGUUAUAAAGUAAUAAUACUAUUAGCAUAGUCAUUUAGCUUUUUAGAUCACGGGAGAUGUAUGAAUAGGAGUUUGGUUGGUUUACAUGGUGGUCGACGUAACCUCCUUUAUAUUUUAUGAAAUCGAUUGUGUAUAACAAAACUAGUUUGAUAAGAGAUAUAUAAAGAAUUUGAAUGGAUUAGGAUAUAAAUAAUGUAGUGGUUAAUUUGAACUAGUCUUUGUUUUCAUAUUGAGUUUUUGCCUUUAUGUUCUUUUUAAAAAAGAGAUCAGAUAGUUGUAUAUAUGUGUUCAACAAGGAGAAGAAUGCCGGAUUACAAUGUUAAUUAGCAGAUUCUUAAUCAAGCACGUAAAGAAUUUGGAGAAGAACAUCAAACUUCAAAAGGGAUGUUUGACAACUCUUUCAAGACUUGUGAGGUUGUUUUUUAAGAAACAACAAAAAUAACGGGUGAAAAUUGCAAUACAUUCUACGAAAUGAAUCAUCAAAACAAAAAUAGCGGGUUGGUCAGACCGAGCUAUUAGCAGGUUCAACUAGCCAUAGUAGUCACGCCACGUGGAAACAUCAGAGAUGUAGGAGAAACUGAAAUAAUGUGGAAAUGCAUAGACUUAAGCCAAUAGAUAAUGGACACGUGUCUGAUGAACGGUACAGGAGACCACAACAAUGGUCGGUUUUGAUAGAUGUCGGUCAUGUGGACCCUAUAGACUUCUGUAUCCACGUCGGUAAAAGCUAGAUUUUUUCAGAUAUUUUUUUUCGUGUUAAUUACUUACUAUAAGACUAUAAAGUGACAUUUUAAAGCUGUUUUAAAAAAUGACAUUGUUACUACUCUAAAAAUUAUCCUUUUUAAGACGUUACAAUUAGAAGAACAAAAAAACAUGCAGCCAAGUGAAUGAACUAGUUUUGCUAUUUGAAAUAGUAAAGAAAAUUAAAUAAUAUUAUGCAUGUGGUUAAGGACGUAAGCUUUGUCCAUUUGUAUAUUAAAAAUGAGACUAUGAUGGGGUGCAUUGAGAACGCACCAUUUCGGAUUUGGCAUACAUUUAUUAUUUAAGAUAAAAUGAAUGUAUCGGGUUCGGUUGAAAGAUUCAAUUCGAUCGACGACAUAUGCCACAUACUUAAUUGAGACGUUUCCAUACACACGCAACUCGUAACAUAACGAUACGAAUCGCUUUUUUUUCUUUCUUUCUUUUAGGCUUUGGGACGGACACUGUACCGACACAUACCAAACAAAGCCAUCGUUUUCGUUCCUAAAUUGACAACUAAAUCACCUAGGAUAUACCUCAUCAAUAUGGAAAUACUACCUUUACAACUAAACAGAAAUAUAAGAAUCAACCUAGAAACAAAGAUCAAAGAUAUAUCGCUUGAUGUAUAUAUCGUUUAUUAAUCCAAUUUUGGUUUCUCCACUUACCAUUUUCUUAACAAAUUUAAACCGGAAAUAGAUGUAAAACAUCGCAUGCAAUUAUCCUCCCUAAAUUUCCUACAUUUUAGUAUAAUGAGACAACUGUACCCCAAAUAUAGAACAAUUUUAUAGAACAAAGACACAAAAUGAUCUAACUCCAUUACAUUUUUACGUACACGUAACGGCAGCCUUUUUCCUAUUUAACGAAAUAUAUUUUGUUUUCGUUUAAGAUCUCGAAAGGCCCAAAUGUGUAAAUAAAUAAUACAUCAUUACCUUAACAUGGGCUUCUAAAUGGGCUAUAUGGCUUCUAAAUUAAAGUCGGGUCGAACCGGAAAGUUAUAACCCGACCCGAAUAUUUUUGACACCGAGACGGAGAGGAAAGGAGGAAGAAGAGGUGUUUUUUGACGCCUAACGAACUCUAUACGAAUCGAAAUCACUGGUUUCGUCUCUGAUUUUUUUUGUGAAUCUGCAGAGGUGUUUCCCGUUGCUGGAUUCUUCGAUUUCGAAUCGCGUCAAGCAGAAUUGAUCUUCAGUCUCGUGUGUCUCCGGCUAUAUUAGUCGACUGAGAAGAGAAGGUGACUUUUUUUUGUUUUUGAGGGGGUGAAAUCGGAGAACGCUGCAAUAGGGAAAGAGAUGAUAACAAGAUCGAAUCUAGCAGAGCAGCUCAGGGAAUACCAGAUUCGAUCAAAGCAUGAUUGGGCAUCUGUUUCUUUCUUCUCUUCCACCUCGAGUUUUUCUUCUUCUAGGUGACGAUUAUUAUUGCUUUUUUUCUUCUUUAUGAUUCGAGAUCUGUUGUGCAUUUUUGUUUUGAAAUUAUGGUACAGUUUGUGUUUAUUCGCUGGAUGUUAGCUUUCUGGUUGCAUAAUGCUUAGAGAAUUGGAUUUGGUUUGUGUGAAUUUUACAUUUGGAAGUUAGGGUUCUGGAGAUCUGAAGGUAACUUUCGUAUCGGGAAAUAGAAACUUCUCAAAUUCGUGGGUUCUACUCAUCUUAUAUGAUCCUGAUUUACAGAAUUAGAUUCCACCUCUUUGAUAAAUAUGCACAAAGAAUUCCGAUUUAGAAGAUAUAGGAAUUGGAUGUUUGUCUCUGUUUAGCCGUCCAAAGUUUACCUGGCGAUGAAAGAUUUGGUAGUCCGUCUAAGGAAUGCAUAACUUUAGUAAAGCAUGAAACUUUAAGACAAUUUCAAGUUCAUUGCAUAUUAUAUACACACAGUAAGGAAAAUAUGAAUCAUAGAGCCAGAGGAGUGUGAUUUGAUAUUUUUUUUCUAUCGUAAUUAUAUUAAGUCAAGCUAGCUGGUUUGUGACCUUAAUGCGACUUUUGACAUUGUCAGUUUAGACGAGCUGUAGUUAGUUCUGUAUCCAAAGUAACAAUAGGUCUUCCAGUGUAGUGUGUUUAUUAGAGUAUUCAGUCUAAAUACUUUUUUUUUUUUUGUUUAACUCGAUUGAUAUUGGAGAGUAUACUUAAUGCUACCAUCCAAAUGUUGUUAUCUCGAUGCAUGGCAUGAUUAUGUCUGUUAUUCGGGUAUAUUAUUUUAGUUUCAUUAUGGGAUCAGCAGCCGUUCAUGCUUAGCACUGCGAGCUUAUCGGGUUUAGUGAUAUAUGGACAGAUAAGAUAGAGAGUAAGAGUAGUAAUGCACCUCUGUAUUUCUUCUGCAUCUGACCUCUUUCCUCUUCAAAUCGCCUUCCCGCUCAUAUACACUGUGGUUCAUUCCCUUUUCUAACGAAGAAAGAGCUAAUUAUCAUUAUUUACAAUAUAUGUGUACUUGUCUUUCCCCUAAUAUUAGUCCCAUAUGUUUCUGUCAUAUGAUUACGUAGACCAAACUCUUGAAUUUUUUCGUUCUAAAAUUGGUUACACUGGUUAAUUGGUUUACAUCUCUUUUUCAAGAUUCAAUCCCAUUUUCUGAUGUUGAGUUGGUCGAGAGUCUCUUUUUUCUUAUCUCUUACAAUCAUGAUUGAGUCCAUUGUUGUUUGACUUUUACUUAGUAAGCUUCACUAACAUGUACAGAUCUUUAUGAGUUAUACAUCACUAAUGAGCUUCUAUUUGGUUUGAUUCAGGGUGGAUGUUGUAGUCUUUGUCAUCUGGGAGCUAGUCAUCUUAGCAUUCUUAGUGUUUUCAGCGGUUUCCUUGUACUUCAAGCGGUUACAGCUCGCAUUCAUCUUGGUAUGCGUAACUUUGCUGCUACUAAUUUGCAUGAAGGUCACAAAGCAAGUAAGGUUAGCCAGAAAGAAGAAGCGAAGGAUGCUGCUUCCGCUAUCUAUGUAAAGUUGCAACAUCUUCUUCAUCCAUAUGAGACUUUGCAACCAUUAUCUCUUAGCCACCAAACUCACCUCCUCGUUUACUGUGCUACUCUACUUGCUGCUUUAAUGGAUGAAGAUGACAAUUAUGCUCACAGCACGGGGUUUAGAGGUUUGAGUCCAGGUCAGGGUGGAUGAGCUGGAAAAUUUCAGGGUCUAGGGUUUUAGAGUCAGACGAUCAUUUUUUUGAUUAGGGUUUGGCUGCAAAUCUGGUUUUGUUCAGAGAAAAAUGUGUUCGAAAGAGUUGUGUUUCAUGUGUAACUGUGAUUGUGAAAUUCAAAAGGGUUUAGCCUAAACAAAUGAGGAAAAAUAUAAUAUCCAAGCUUGCAUUAUUUUUCAGAGGGUAAUUUCUCUGGUUUUCUAUUUUGGUAUAUGAAACAACAAAUAAACCAAUCUUUUUCUACAAAACUUUGUUUUGCUUAACUGUUUCAGAGGUAAUCUAAGUACACACCACAAGGAUCGAGAUGCAGCAAAUAGGAACUAUAACGGUGUACUACUCGGGACUACACAUAGUUGAAAAGCGAGGGCUUGUAGGAUUUCACGUGACUCGAAGAAGAAAAAGACAAAGGAGAAAUUAAAACAAGGGAGAUAGAGAUACACAAGAAAGUAAGAAUAGAGAAGUUGAGGACGUGAAUAUAGCAAAGAAAAGCAGCAGCAAUUUGCUCUUCAACGGUCACAUCUCACAUGCUCUAUUGUCACCACCACAUCUCCUUUUACCCUCUCACAAACUUAUACUAUGUGGCCUAAAUUAUAUGUAAUUGUUGUUUACCAUUCGCAAUUAAAUUUAUAAAUUGCUCUUUUUCUCUUGCCAGUUUAUUCAUUUUCAUAAUUAUUUUUAAAUUUUUUUAUUUUUGCAACUAUUAAUUAACAUAUAGAACAGUAUUUUCAUAUAUAAUUUUAUGUAUAUAUAUUAUAUUUCAUCUGUUUUAUGUUAAGACUUUUACUGGUGAUAUAUAGUUUUACUUUAUAAAAUUUGGUUUUCAUAAUUCUAGCUGGGUACCCAGUUUCUUAAUUUCAUCACAUAUGUUUAUUAUCGUUUAAGAAAUCUUAUUGCCUUUAUGCCUAGAUAUGCAACACCAUAUUGACACCAACAAAUAUAUCAAAUGCAAAAGACCAUUUUAAAAGGAAAAGAAGAUGUAAGACAAUAAUAAUACAAUCAUAUGGUAACAAAUUUUAACCCAAAUAAUGAAAAUCACACGGCUACCUUACUCCUUCCACACAUUCCUAAUCUUCUUUUUGGGCCGCAUGACAACUACCACAAACACUAAUCACAUUUUGUAGUAUAUAUACGUGGAGAGAGAGAGGCAAGUAUAGUUCAGACAGUAACAUACUAACAGUAUACACAACGGUAUUAUAUUGUAACAGAUCAAAGUUCCCAUAUAUGUCUCUGAAGAAAAGAUCUUGCUCGAGGCUUAGACUCACCGAUUUGAUGGAGAAGUGGAGGAAAUGUAAGAAAGGCCACUUUGCUGUGUACACCAGAGAAGGCAGGAGGUUCGUUUUGCCCUUGGAUUAUCUGAAACAUCCAAUCUUUCAGGUCUUGUUGGAGAUGGCAGAGGAAGAGUUUGGUUCCACCAUUUGUGGCCCUUUACAGGUUCCUUGCGAUGGAGGUUUGAUGGAUCACAUCCUCACGUUGUUGAGAAACAGGAGUUUGUCUGACCAUGAUGAUGACGGUGGUGAUGAUGGUGUGAAGAAGAAGACGAUGAACCAUGAUGUAUCCUCCAUGAGCACAUCUUGCAAGGGAGCUUCAUCGGUUUCAUAUUUCUUCCCUCUCUUUCGUUGCACAGCCCAUGAUCAGAGCAAGCUCCAGUCUCUAGUUUUUUAACAGUUUAUGCGUUGUGGAGAGCGCUUUUACACAUAAAAGGUCUUUUCUGUUUGUGUAUAUAUAGAGAAAGAGAUUCUAUAUAAGCCUUCAGUUUUGUAUAUCAUUGUUCAUUUUUGACAGAAAUAUCUGUAGAAGAAGUAAAUUAACAUUUAAACCAAACAAACGAGUUAACUAACCGCGAAGUGCGAGCUAAGGCUGUUGCAGCGCUUCCUGCUAGAGUUUUGAUGUUCUGAGCUUUAUGAGUUCUCUUCUUAAAAUCUUGCCAGAGGGAUUUUUGGGGAUUGAAGCCAAAAAUGCGACUUUGCGAAUCCUCUUGUAUGGUGAUACCUAUGUAAUUCAAACAAAAACUCCUGUUAAAAUAUAAGGAAACAUGAUUAGAUUAGUGAGAAAACAUGAUAUGCAUUGUUGAAAAAACCUGUUUUUCGAUGAAUCCCAUGAUUUCGCUUUCCAGUAAGUUACUUCCAGCUUUUCUUACUAUAUACGCCAUUGGAUAUUGUCCAGCUUCCAUGUCAGGGAUGCUUCAAAAAACCAUAAGAAGGAAAAAUAAAAGCUUGAGCAAAAAAAAGAAACAUUAAAGAGAAGAAUUUGAUGAAGGCUCAUGUUAAAAGCCGAGCUUACGGUACUACUGCUGCAUCAGCAAUCUCUGGAUGAGCAAGCAACAGUGCCUCUAGUUCAGCUGGAGCAACCUAAUUAACAUUUAACAAAUUACCAAAACCACCAACUUUACUAUUCAGAUGAUCCAUGCAUCAAGAAAGUUGAUUGCUUAUAUGUAGUUUUUUAACCUGAUAACCAUUGCAUUUGAUGAGCUCCUUUAAUCUAUCAACAACAAAGACAAACCCUUCACUAUCAAUGUAGCACAAAUCUCCUGUUUUCAACCAUCCUUCAGAGUCAAUAGUAGAAGCAGUAGCUUCUUCGUUCUUGAAAUAACCUUUAAACAAAUCAAGAAGUUUCAGACAACACCAAAAACAAGAAACAAAUAACACCUUUUGCAGAAAGAUGAGCUAAAGAUGAAGAGUCAACACCUUUCAUGACAGUGGGACUUCGAAUCCACAGCUCACCAGUUUGAUUCACACCCAAGAUCCGACCCGUAUCCGGAUCCACAAUCUUAGCUUCCACAUUUGGGGCCAGCAAACCAGAAGCUCCAUACCUCUUAGCCUCCCCUUUAGUGAACAUAGAAGCAGCUAUAGCCGUUGACUCAGUCAAACCAUACCCUUGUAAAAUCUUAACCGUCGGAUAAUUCUCAACGAACUUCUCAAUCACCUCUCUACUCAAUGGGGCUCCUCCAACCACAAUGGUGUGCAACGAGCUCAGAUCAUACUUGGAAUUGAUCUCAUUUGCUCUAUUUACCAUAGCUACCACAAUAGGCGGCACAAGGGAAAGAUACGAAGAUCGGUGAAUCUCCACGGCCGAGAGAAGCUGAGCCAUCUCGAAUUUGGGAAGAACCACGAUCGUCCAUCCUAAAGCGAUUAGCCCCGUCGCGAAACUCCCGAAACCGUACACGUGGCACAUCGGGAUUGUGCAGACGGUUCGCUGCUCCAAACCGAACCGGGCCCGGCAUGCUUGUACCGAUGCGAUUAGGUUACGGUGAGUCAGCAUUACUCCUUUACUCGUCCCCGUCGUACCUGAUGAGUAUAACAGAGCCGCUGUAUCGUCCUGGUUGACUCGUUGCUUCACUCGUGACUCAAUCGGUUCCGUUUCAAUCAUCGUCUCUAGCCUCCCGACUAUUUUAACGCGCUCGUCGUGAUUUUGAGAAGGAACGUGGUUUUCGUCCAUGAGAACCACCGGGAGAUUCGAAUCCGACGCGGCGGCGAGUUUGGAGACGAGCUGACAUGUGGUGAAGGCGAGAACAGGUCGCGAAUUAUUUAUCUGUUUAGAAAUCUCGUCGGAAGUGUUGAUCGGAUUAGCUGUGGUGAUGAUUGCGCCGAGUGUCAUAACGGAGAGUGAGACGAUUGGGAAGAGGAUUGAGUUGGGAGAGAGUACAAUGACGACAUUGCCUUUGCGUACACCUAAUGCGUAGAGACUAGCCGCGACUCUUUCAACGCCGAGCCAGAGCUCGGAGAAAGUAAGGCGACGACCGGUGACGGCGUCGACGAACACGGUUUUACCGCCAUGAGGCUGCGAUGAAAUGAAAGUCGUGACGUCGAGGUUUUGGUUUGGCGGGAGAGCCACUGGCUCACGUUUGCUGUAGAAAAUCGAUGUGGAUUCGCAGAACCCGCUUUUCCGGUCAAGUGAAAGAGUUCUGGAUCCGAUAUCGCCGCCGUGCAUAACCACCAUGUCUUCGGGACCUCGGUUGUAUCGAAAGCCUACCUCUCAGUCAAUGGUCGUCAGAGACUGGUGUCGUCUUCGAGUUCAAGUUUCAUAAUAUUAUUAUUUUUUUUUUUAAGGCAAAAAGCAAAAGCCCACUUCACUCCCAAUCUUUGACCCGCUACGACUUUGGGCCUAAUCAAUAUUAGCGUUUUUUAGCGGAUAAUAUAAAAAUCAGUUCCGAUUAAUUCAGUCAUCACACAUUCAUACCACUAUUUCACAAGACUCACACACACAUGACACAACAACACAUAUCAUAAUAUAAAUUAUUUUCUGAAACGAACUGCUUUGUACUUUUGUCAUUAAUUAAUUGGUAGUGACUGAUGAUUGCUUAACCAGCAUUUUGUUGUAUAGUCAGAUCUAUAGGCAAGGAUAAUGUGGUGAUUAAACAAAUGCACAAAUGCUGUGACGGAUCGUGGUAGGUGAAAUCCGACUCAAUGAUCUUGGUUGGUAUAACUCGUAUUAAUCAUAGCUGGUAGUGGUAGGUCUAGAUAAAACACCUGAAUAUGAAAAAAUCGAAUCGAAACUUUACCGAAUUGAAAGGGAACUGAACUACCUAAACUCCUAAUAUCCGAAGAAUCGAAACCGAAUCAUCAAAAGAAAACAUCAAUUAGCAAACUGUUUCAACAUUUUGUUUUAUAUGAGUCUCCUUCCAACUUAUUCAAUAUCAGCUUAGCAAACAAUUUCUUAAAAAAAAAAGAAAAUCCUCUCUUAUUGAGAAAAACAAUACAAUCGGUAAAAAUAAGAAUCUAGCAAAGAGAUCCUUUUAAAGUUUGGAAGUUGCCAGUCUGAUUAAGUCUUUGCGAAGUGUUUUACCGGAUACAGUCUUUGGUAUGGAAUUUAUAAAUGCAACCUUCCUUAUAUUUUUAUAUGGUGCCACCUACUCAUCAAACCACCCAAAAAUAGUGUAAGUAAAAACAAGAUUAGAAAAGAAUGGUGUUGGUUUGUGAUUACAAAAAGAGGACCUGUUUAGAGAUGAAGUCAAUGAUUUGUUUCUCGGAUAGAUUGCUUUCGGACACUCUCACCACGUAGGCCAUUGGAUACUGUCCUGCUUCUUUGUCCGGAAACCUUUUUGGGACGAUGCACAAAAACAAACAAACAUGAACAGAAUAACACAAAACUACCUACAUGGUGUUUUUAGCUGAAAGAAAAGAAAAAGGUUAUGAAAUUUUCAUUUACGGGAUGACGGCUGCAUCGAUAAUGCAUGGAUGAGUGAUCAAAAGAGCUUCUAGUUCAGCUGGAGGCACCUGUUUAUCAUAUUUUAAACGUUAGCAGUUUUUUUUAACCAUUUAUACAUAACGAUAAUGUAUACAUCUUUUAACCUGAUAGCCUUUGUAUUUGAUCAGUUCUUUGAGUCGAUCAACAACAAAAAGAAACCCAUCUUCAUCAAUAUAGCAGAGGUCUCCCGUUUUUAGCCAUCCUUCUCCAUUGAUGGUUUCAUUUGUAGCUUCUUCGUUUCUAAAGUAACCUUUUUUAUAUUAAAAAAAAAACAGAUAAAUAUUUAUAUGAAUUUACAAAUGUUUAAAUACUUAUAUAAAAUAUUUUAUAUGGGUUUGCCACAAUUAUAGAGAGAACAAGUUGAUCACCUUUAGAAAUAGAAGGGCCCUUGAGCCAGAGCUCACCGGUUUGAUUAACUCCCAUGACCCGACCCGUAUUCGGAUCCACUAUUCUCGCUUCCACAUCAGACGUCAACGUCCCCGCCGUGCCGUAUUUCCGUAGAGGAGCCUCCUCCUCUGCAAGACCCGAGUUAGCCCCUCCGCCGUUUGAUUCCGUCAACGCAUACCCCUGAUGUAUCUCAACCGACGGAUAUCUCUCUAAAAACCCUUCCGUAACCGCCUUGCUCAACGGAGCCCCACCACACCUCACCAACCUCAGCGAGCUCAGAUCGUACUUGGCCUUGAUCAGAUCUGCACCGUUGAUCAUAGCUACUAAAACCGGCGGCGCCAUUAUUAGACUUGUGGCUUUGAACUUGUCCACAGCAUCUAACAUAUCGUGAAGCUCAAAUCUUCGGAGGACCACCACCGUCGUUCCCAAUGCUACGGUCCGCAUGGCGAAGCCUAGUAAUCCAUAAGUGUGGGACAUUGGAACGGUGCAGAGGACUAUCUCGUCUUCUUGUUUCAGUUUAUCGGAGAGGUGUCUCGCCACGUGAGCGGUUAAAUUACCGUGAGACGAGAUCACUCCUUUGCUCGGUCCUGUCGUCCCCGACGAGUAAAGCAUCAUCGCCGUGUCGUCCUUGUUCACUCGGUCUCUGACUCGUUGACCACGCGGUUCUUUCUUCAUCAUCUCGCUUAAAAUUCCGACGACCCUAACUCCGAGGGAUGGCUCCUCCUCGCCGUCGUCGGUGAGAACGACGGAGACAGCGGCCGCGAGUUUGAGUGCCAGCUGGCGCGUGGUGAACGCGAGAGUUGGGUUGCAGUCGGCGAUCUGUUUAGAGAUCUCACCGGCGGUGUUGAGAGUGUUGGCGGUGGUGACGACGGCGCCGAGAGACAUGACGGAGAGGCAGACGACGGGAAUGUAGAUUGAGUUUGGAGAGAGGAUGAGGAUGACGUCACCUCUUCUUAUUCCGAUUUCGUGAUAAAGAAAGUCAGCGACACGAUCGACGGCUCUCCAAAGAUCGGAGAAGCUUAAACGGUGGCCCGUGGCGGCGUCGAUGAAGGCGGUGGUGCCGCGGUGAGGCAGAGAGGAGAUGAAAGUUGUGACGUCAAUGGAAGGAUUUGGCGGGAGACUCAGUGGGUUGCGUUUGCUAUAGAAUGUAGAGUUUGAUUUGCAGAAACCGCUUCUGGGAUCAACACUGAGAGAUCUCUGAGGAUACUCCAUUUUCUCAAAGCGUGGAAGUUUUGAACUAUGUGAGGACAGUUUCAAUAGCAAUGGCUAAUUAUUAUUGUAAGUUAAAGAGAGAUACCUACUUAAAGUAAAACAGAUUUUAGUUUUAUACAUCUUUCCAUGAUUACUAUGAUAUGCAAAAAAUGACAUUAGUAAACUUAAUUAGAUAAGGAUUAUGACAUGGCGGACACAAAAAUGAUGAGUAUAGAAAAGACAAUACAGUAUUGGGAAAUCUCGGCCCUCCAUUAAAAUAUCAGAUGAAGUUGAUUUCAACUCACAACAGUGCAAAUUUAUUGAAUUCUGGCCACAAAACUACACCUUGUCCCAAUGGAAAACGUGACACUGCCAGAAAAAAAAUGGAAAAGAAAAAAGAACCCUCGAAUUACCACGAAGGUGACAGAUUUAUUUACCCAACAUUUUUAUUACAUAUUAAGAUUUUGGAUUUCUCUAUUUUUUUAAGUCUUGUAACAAUUUCAAAGCUUGAAGUUGGAAGGGAUCACGAGCUUUAUGAGAUCCUUACGUAGAAUAUUACCUGAAGGAUUCUUUGGAAUAGAAGACAUAAACUUCACCUUUCGUAUCUUCUUGUAAGGUGCUACUUGUUUCGCUACAAACUCCAUUAUCGUCUUCUCUGUUAUGAAGCUUCCAGGUUUCCUUACAACGCACGCCAUCGGAAAUUCCCCUACUACUUUGUCCGGAAACCUGUUAAAUCCCCAAAAACAUUAAACAACUCAUGACUGUACAUUAAACAACACAUAAGAUGAGUGUACACUGUUUGUGACUUACGGGAUUACUGCAACAUCUUUGAUCUCAUGAUGAGUGAGCAGCAAAGCUUCUAAUUCAGCUGGAGGGACCUUUGCAAAAUGCAAUGAUCACAAAAUAAAAUAAAAAUGAAUUAGAACCAUUUUCAGAGUUUCUAAUCUAUACGUUUAGACAAACUUCAGAGGAUGUUAGAAAUGUUCGAAUGCAUACAUCUACACAUACAAUCGUAAACUCAUCGAAAUGUUUUGUAACCUGGUAAGCUUUGUAUUUGAUUAGCUCUUUCAAUCGAUCCACUAUAAAAAGAAACCCAUCAUCGUCGAUGUAGCAGAGAUCUCCAGUUUUAAGCCACCCCUGUGAGCUAAAUGCUUCGUUUGUUGCUUCUUCGUUUCUAAAAUAACCUUUUCAACCCAAAAACAAAGAGUUGUAAAAUAAAAUUUUCAAACCUCUGAUUUUGAAUUACUUGUCAGACACGAUACCUUUUGCAAUGGCGGGACUUUUGAGCCAAAGCUCGCCCGUUUCGUUCUCACUCAACAUUCGACCUGUAUCCGGAUCCACGAUCCUUGCUUCAACGCCGGAAGACAACUUACCCACCGCACCGUAUCUCUGACUCUCCUCCACCGUAUCCAUGGAAGCUCCUGCGCUGUUUGAUUCCGUUAACGCAUACGCUUGAAAAACAUCAACCGUUGGAUACUUCUCUAAAAAACUCUCUGUGACCUCUUUGCUCAACGGUGCUCCACCGGAUCUAACCGUUUUCAGGGAGGUCAAAUCGUACUUAGCCUUUAUCAGAUCUGAGCCGUUGAUCAUAGCUACCAAAACUGGCGGCGCCAAAACCAGAGUCCUGACUCUGUAUUUCUCUAUUGCUGCCAACAUAUCGUGGAGACCAAACUUCCGGAGAAUUACCACCGUCGAACCUAAUGCUACGGUGGCCAUGGCGUAGAUCAGUAAACCGUAGGUGUGGAACAUCGGAACGGUGCAGAGGAAGGUCUGAUUUGGUGGCGCCAAUGGCUCAGAGAUGUACCUCGCUAUGUGCGCGAUUAAGUUCCCCUGAGAAGAAUCCACUCCUUUGCUUCUUCCUGUGGUUCCCGACGAGUAGAGCAGCAUUGCCGUGUCGUCUUGGUUAACUCGGUCUCUGACUCGCUGCCCACUCUGUUCCUUUUCCAUCAUCUCGCUUAAAACCCCAACGACCCUGACUCCGCGAGUUGAUCCCACGAUCUCUUCCUCGUCGUCUUCCGUGAGGACAACGGAGAUAUCGGCUGAGGCUGCGAGUUUGGGAGCUAGCUCGGGAGUUGCAAAGGCCAGCUUUGGCUUGCUGUCUGCAAUCUGUCUGGAGAUCUCACCGGCGGUGUUGAGAGGAUUCGCGGUGGUUAUCACGGCUCCUAGGGACAUGACGGCGAGGCUUACGACGGGGAUGGAGAUGGAGUUCGGGGAGAGGAUGAGUACGACGUCGCCUCUCCUUAUGCCAAUGUCGUGGUGGAGACAGUCGGCGACACGAUCAACGGAUCUCCAGAAAUCGGAGAAGCUAAUGCGAUGGCCUGUGGAGGCGUCGAUGAAGGCGGUGGUGCCACGGUGAGGUUGAGAGGACAUGAAUGUUGUGACGUCAAGCGACGUGUCUGCCGGCAGUGGUAAUGGACUGCGUUUACUGUAAAAUGUCGAGUUUGCUUUACAGAAACCCUUUUUAGGAUCAAUGAGCGAUGGUGAUGAUGAUGGUCUUUCUGAAUCCUCCAUUUUCUUCAGCUGGUUAGAUGGAUGAUUCAGCUCUGAGAUUGUUUAAGACAUAAACUAUUGAAUUUCUUGUGUUAUUGAAACCGACAAAUAUACAUGUAUGGAAAGCGAGAUGAACCAUAGAGAGAACCUGGAUUUGCCAGACCGGUUUCUAAUGGAUCGGCUGAUUCGUCUGAGUAAAACUUCCGAGGAUUCAGCUGUAAUCCGACAAGACGAGGAAGAGGAGCUAGUCUCCCAAACCAACGCGUACAUACAAGAAGAGUCAUCUCAAAAAGUAGCCAAUGAGUAAGACAAGUCUUUGUAGGGGAUAUAUAUGGUCACUGUAUCCAGGUUCUCUUACAUAUAACCAAUUUUUUUUUGGGGUUUGAGCUUAAAACAUGACCUUUAAGUCAAAAAUAGUAUAUCAGGUAAAGAAGUUAAUCUACCAAACUACACUAUGUCCGCACAAGAAUGUGAAACAGCCAGAAAUCCUCGAGUUACCUCAAAGUAGGAAUCACGUAAAUGGUGUAAGAAGUUAGGCGUAAAGUAGUAUAAGCUUUUGCUAAUAUAUAAUUCUGUUUUAUAAUUUGGCCAUCAUCUAAUAUUUGAUCAUAAAAAUCGUUUUGAAAGUAGACAUUUAUUUAAAUUAACAGUAAUUUAUGUGUCAUAUGUGUUUUGACUUGAGACCUAAUAAGGGUCAUAUUUCAAAAUGUAAGGAAUCAUAGAAAUUGUCAUACGACUUUUGCUUUUCCACCAAUGCAACAGAUUCACUACAUUACAAACAGUAAUACAACACAUACAUAGCCUCUCACUAUAACUAGUCUCAUAAAACUUUCAAAGCUUGGAUUUGGAAGUUGCCAGCUUGAUGAGAUCCUUGCGCAAAAUCUUGCCUGAAGGGUUCUUUGGUAUGGAAGUUACGAAAACCACUUUUCGUAUCCUCUUGUACGGUGCUACUUGUUUUGCUACAAACUCCAUUAUUGACUUCUCUGAUAAGCUGCUCCCAGUGUUCCUUACAACGUAUGCCAUCGGGAAUUGCCCCACUGCUUUGUCCGGAAACCUAUAAAUCGCCAAAAACAUUAGAAACUCAAGACUCUUUCUUAGUUUAAAGAAACACUACUGACGGCGUGACUUACGGGAUACAAGCAGCAUCAGUGAUUUCAGGAUGAGUGAGCAACAAAGCCUCUAGCUCAGCUGGAGCAACCUAUCCAAUAAUAUCACCAAGUGGAGUUUAGCACAAUUCUCAUCUCUUUGCAAUGAAAGAGCAAUGUUCGAAUAUACUCAAUCCCCAUUCCGACAAGCUUAUCAUAAGUUCAUAACACACAAUCACACUUCCAGGCUCAGAAAUUACUGAUUGAUUAAUCAGUACUAUUCCCUAAUGCUGGAUAAGGACUAUAGCAUAAAAAUCAACAGUGGUUAUAUGUAUAUUGUAAAUAUUACCUGGUAGCCCUUAUACUUGAUCAGUUCCUUCAACCGGUCAACCACGAAUAUGAAUCCAUCUUCAUCAAUAUAGCAGAGAUCUCCAGUUCUUAGCCAUCCUUCAGAAUCAAGAGUGGAGCUCGUAGCUUCCUCGUUACUAAAAUAACCUACCAAAGAUCAAACAACACACCCAACAAAACAUCAAAAACCCAAUUCCUGCUUUGAUGAUCUCAAUUCUUGAAUUCAGCAUCCUCGAAGAAUUAAAAUGUACCUUUCAUUAUAGAAGGACCCUUGAGCCAGAGCUCACCGGUUUGGUUCGGUCCAAGAAUCUGACCCGUAACCGGAUCCACAAUCCUCCCCUCCAUACUUGCCGACAAUUUCCCGGCGGUGCCGUAUCUCCGGCUUUCCUCAACAGUAUCCGUGGAAGCUCCUAUUCCCGUUGACUCAGUCAACCCAUAACCUUGCAUAAUCUUGACCGUCGAAUACUUCUCCGCGAACCCUUCAGUCACUUCCUUACUCAACGGAGCUCCGCCGCACAAAACAGUGUGCAUAGAGCUCAAAUCGUACUUAGCUUUGAUCUGAUCAGCGCCGUUAACCAUCGCCACAAGAAUCGGAGGCACGAGAGGCAGAAACGUGGCUUGAUACUUGCCAAUCGCAGACAUCAUCUCGUGCAUCUCGAAUUUGGAGAGAACGAUGAUCGUGGAUCCGUAAGCGAGGAGUCCAGUGGCGAACGCAGCUAAGCCGUAGAUGUGAAACAUAGGAACGGUGCAGAUGAACCGUUGCUCUCCUUGUGUUCCAUCAUCAGAUCCGAAUCGAUUCACGACGGUUUGAACCAUCGCGAUUAAGUUACGGUGAGACGAGAUCACUCCUUUGCUCAUCCCCGUGGUUCCGGAAGAGUAAAGCAAAGUCGCCGUGUCGUCCUGCUCAACUCGCUCCAUAACUCGGUUCCCGCUCGGCUUCCUCUUCAUCAUCUCCACCAGUCUCCCCACCUUCCCGACUGAGUCAACUCGUUCCUCGUCCAUGAGCACGAUCGGGAGCUUCGCCGCGGCGGCGGAGAUUUUCGGGAGGAGCUGAGCCGUGGUGAAGGCGAUGACCGGGUUCGAAUCUUUGAUCUGUUUAGCGAUCUCUCCGGAAGUGUUGAGAGGAUUGGUGGUGGUGAUGAUCGCGCCGAGUGACAUGACGGAGAGGCAAACGACGGGGAAUAGAAUCGAGUUCGGAGAGAGGAGAAGGACGACGUGUCCCUUUCGAAUCCCCAUCUGGUAGAGACAAUCUGCGACGGACUCCACGGCACGCCAUAGCUCGGAGAAUGUGAGGUUUUUGCCCGUGGAAGCGUCGAUGAAGGCGAUACGGCCGCGGUGAGCUUGAGAAGAUAUGAAAGUAGUGACGUCGAGUGAUGGAUUCGGCGGGAGUGGGAUUGGUGUUCGUUUGCUGUAGAAUGUUUUAUUCGAGUUGCAGAAACCACUUCGUGAGUUAACUGAAGCCAUUUUUAGAAUCUAUCUGGAUUUGUUUCUCUCUCUGUGACUUACUUAAUACAACAGUUGAACUUAUUAAGUUCUUGGCUGAUAAGAAGUUUGACUUUUAUAAGACAAAGUAUUUGAGCCGUCGAGGACCACGUUUUGUUCUCUUGUUCCGACUUCCGAGAUAUUUCCAGGCCGUUUUGAUACCACGUGAAAAUUAUGUGUAUUUAACUUUAUUUCUUUUGACCAACAACGAUAAAAUCUCUUUGAAAUAACGUGAUUUAUGGGCCAGGCCUUUUCUGAAGGCCCAUAUCGGGAUGGAUCGUUAACAGGGAGUGUUGUUGAGUUUGUUUGUAUUUCCUCUAUUUUUGAUUUCUGUUUCUUUUUUUUUUUGUGUUUUUUCCUUUUUUUUAAUCCAUCUCAUGGAGAUUAUCACUAGGUAGUGUCUGUAUUUGCACUGUUGUAUCUUCUUGUUUUGUAAGAUUCAUCUUUCUGAUGAGCAAUAGAUUACACUGUUUAAUGGAUGAGGACAAACUUUAUUGGCUUAAAUCCUGUUUUUUUUCUCAUGUCUUUAUGUGUGUGUUUCCCACAACCAAACUUACCAAGAACAUAUGAUUAAAUACUUUGAUUUGUUGUCCUUUAACUGUUGAUUUCUAUCACCAUAUGUGCAACCUCGUUAUUGUCUUUGCUAAAACGUGCUCAAUUGUGUGUAAUUGACUUUGUAAGAUGAUAAUAUUUUUGUAUUUGCUUAUAAUUCUAAUUUUUACAUGUAUAUAUUUGCUUAUAUGUCUUCCAAUCAAACCGGAGAUGUCUUAGCUGUAAGAAUAUUAAGAAGUGAAACUCUGGUCUGAAUAAGUCGCCGGAAAAUACAUCCCAACUCGAUCUCAAGCUCCUCAACAGCGAUUUGUGCAGCCUGCAACCUUGUACCCGCGGUCUGCAGCCUGACUUCGUCCCAUACAUCAUCAUCAAAGCAGCAUAGCUGCAUCGUAAAUAUCGAAGACAACGACCCUUUGCUUGGUUUUUUUUCGAGACAAGGAACACACACGAGCGAGAACAGAGACUCGACCAUAGUCACAAUGGCUCUUCUCACUUCCUGCAAAACCUCGGUGACAAACACAAGGUUCUGCUCUAUGCUCUGCAUCUCCAUCGUCCCUCUUCCUCCUCCUCCUUCAAUACUCUUUAGACGAUUCAAACACUUGAGCGUUUCCUUCUUGAGCUUGUUCCUGUACCGAUUAUAAGCUGCGAUCUUCUCACUGAGGUUUGCUCCGUUACAGCGCAGAGUCAGCUGAAGAUCUCGAAGGCUAUGUCUCACAAGCGUCAUGACGUCUUUUGACACGUUACAUACAUCUAACAUUAUCAGUGAAGCGUCAGAGACUUGCUCGAUCCAUUUCUCUUUCCCUUGCCGAAACAGAGACUCUCUUGCUUCUGGACAGUGAUCGAGAAGAUAGUUUGCAGAUUCUUGUAGUUCUCUCAAGCCUUCCAAGUCCACUAGCGCCAUUCGAUUGAAACCUCAAAAUUCAAAAGGGUAUUGCUUGAAUCAGAGAACGGAGAUAUUGGAAUGAUUUUAAUAAGAGAAUUAUGAUUAAGGUUUAGUGAAAAUAUGGGGAGACUCCAUAUAUAGGGAAUGUUGUGAUUGGAUUGAGAAGAAUGAGGAAAGUACAAUGAAAGAACCCUUGAGGUGUUUUUCUUCUUGUACGUACGUGAAGACAUUUGUGUUGGAAAACAGGUCAUUUAGGUUUAUAAAUUCAAACUAGUUGAAGUUAGUAGUAUUUAGGAAACUUCCGUUUGUGUAUAAGUUGCAAUAUGCUACAUUAUGGAUUUGAUCUGAUAUUGUUGUCUACGAAACAAAACAAAAAGUUCAAAUUAUUUAAUUUAAACUAAUGGGGUACCUUUAUCAGAAAUCAUGCAUGCAUGAACCAAGCCAGCCAGUGUAGCUUUGUAAUUAUCUGAAUUGUUAGGAAUCAAAACAGAGACAGCAUUAUAUUUGUUUAUAUAUCAGAGAGGAGAGGAUGUUCAUGUUCCAGAGUUUUUCAUUUGCAUUGUCCGUGUGUGUCGGUUUUAAUGAUUUGUCAAACUCAUCAUUCUCUAAACACAUCGUCAUUAAUUAGUCGUAUAUGUUGAGAUUUGAGACAAACAUUCGUUAACAAGAGGAUUAUAUUAUCUGCUAAACUGUGUUUAAAAUCACAUGUACGUGCCAGUAUUAUUGGUCUACGCUACAUAAUACAUAUAGAUAUUAUUCAUAUAGAUACAUAUAGAUCUUGACAAUUGAGUCAAUUAGCAGAUUCUCAUAGCACCUGAUAGAUUCGAAGCCAUUAAUUCCAACUUCCAAGUUCCCAACUCGUAAAUUGUUUUGUUGGUGGAGCAUAACAUCUGAUUAUUCGAUUUUUUCUAUUAAUUAAGAACUUAUCCUCAGGUGCUUAUUAUGAGUUCCUUAUUAAAAAUAAAUAUGUAUAUAUGCUUUGAGUUGUGAUGAAGAGUUAUAUCAAGAAUCAAAAGACAAUCACUAGCUGCUAUAUGAGUAUUUUUCUCAUUCUUUUCCAAUGAUUAGGUUUCUAUAAGAAAUUAAGAGCAUGGAGCUUCCACAAUGGUAUCAGUUGAAUCGGGUUUAUAAAAUGAGAUAUUUUAUUUGUAUUAAUUCACAAUCAGAAUCCCAAAUUGUAGUCACAAAACUUGUGGAGGACAAAGUUGGAAGUCUCAACUUGAGAAUGUGCCAAAUGGAGACUUCUUGUGACGCAAGAAAACCCAUGAGGGUUAGACUUCGAACUAACUCAAAUGUUCAUGAUUGGAAUUUGGAAUGUAGUAUCUUCUUAUCAAAGCUACAGCAUCAGUAUUCGGCUAUGACCAUAAUCAAAAAUUUUAAUGAAAUUUAAUAACUCAUCCAAGAACAGGAGUGAAACAAAGAUAGAAGAAUGAAUAAAAGAACUUAAACAAACGGGUACAUUACGUGCACAUUAAGUCAAGUUCCUCGUAAGUCUGUUUCGAGUUUAUAGCUAACUUCUCCAUAGAUUUGAAUAUCUGUUCCAUGUCAGACUUCAGAUUUAAAGCGCCCAUUAAUUCAACAGGUGGUAGUGUCUUCAUCUUCCUAUGCAUCUUAAGCUCUUCUUUCUCUAACAUCACAAGUUUUCUCUCUAUAUCUUUGACCCUGACAUUAACAUUCCGUUGCUCUUCUAAUUCCAUCCUCUGUUUCCCCACUUGACGGUUUACGUGCAUCAAAAUCAUGUAAACCGCUUCUGUGAACUUCAUCUCUCCAUCUGAUAUGUCAAGUGUUUGUGACCAACUGUUAAUAGCACCAAACAAUGGUGGCUCUUCUGAGAGAUCAGGUGUUGGUUCUUGAGGUUCUUGCUUCAAACAUCUCAUUAGCCAACUGUUCAAGGCCUUAACAUACUGAGCCUGAGCAUCUAUCCAGUUGGAUAGGUUUUGGCUCCAGUUCCUCAGCUCCAGUUUCAAUUCCAUAGCAAGCUCAAGCUGAGAUAUGUCUAGUUUUUCCUUUAGUGUCAUCUUGUCAAGCUUCUUAGCCUCUGAAAUUACUCUGGAUUGUCUACUGUGACAUUCUAACAUCGAGCUCCACAUACCAAACAACCUAUACAUUGAGACACAUCAAGCUGAGAUAACUCAUAAGGUUUCUCAAGCAAAAUCUUGAAAAACUUAUGGUAAUUGUAAUUCUCUUAGUACCUGUGGAUCAAUUUUUUCAUCUGGGACCAGAGCUCUUCAUCGCGUAACUUGUUAAUCAUCAGACAUAUAUUGUUUAUCUUAUGGAUAGAGACUCUCAUUCUCGUAGACAGACACUGAAUAGAAGAACGAACGGCUUCGAUUUUGCUCGGCUCUGCACAUUUCGCUUCCAAUCUCCUCAAUUGUUUGUAGUUCUUAAUGUGAGCUGUUCGGAGCUUCUCCUCAGCCUUAUACAUAAAAAAUAAAAAGUCUCGAAAAGGAACAUAAACACACUUGUGUAUGUUAUGCUAAAACCAUUUUGAUUAUACCUUAACUUCUUGGUACAGUUUCUUCUCCCACAUGAAUAGUUUCUUAAGAGUAGAUGAAAGAUUACUGAAGUUAGUUCCAAAAUCUUCCACUGGUUUGGGAUCCAACGGAGUCAUCAUCUUCUUGGCGUAGAGAAUGUUUGAAGAAGCUGAUAGAGCUAAACAGAAUCAGAAACAAAUAGAUAAUGACAUUAACAAAGGAAGAGAAAGUAAGAAGAAGAAGAAAUGGAAACAUUUUACCACUUUGAUAAACUGAGGUUUUCUGGUAGUAUCUGAAUCUCGAAGUGUCGAACAUCUUCGAAACAUCGUUCCCUGAAUCUGAAGCUUCCUUGAACAUUUCCUCCAAUUGCUUUGUGACUUGAGAGAAAUCUGAUGAAACUUUUUGAUCCUUUGGUGAUUUUUUCACACCACUACUCUUUUUCUCCGAUUCAUUAGGUUUCUUCUUGACUGAGAUUUUCAGAUUUUGUUUCGGUUCCUCUGCUUUAAUCGUCUUCUUCGUCAAAGUAUAUUCUUCAUGACAACGAGUGGUCUCUCUGUCUUUCAAAUCCUUGGGAUCCGUAGUGUAAGGAAGCUCAUAGCUCUCGAAGAGAUUGAUAAAAUCCCAUGCGUAGUUACUCGCCGCCGGCGGUGGCGGAGGCGGCGUUAUGGUUCCGGACUCGUAACUCCUCCGGGAGUAGAACGAGUCAUGAUUUGGAUUUAGGGAUUCGAGUUUUGGACAUCCAAAUAAAUCGCAAUUCGUCGUGCCUUCUUCUUCGCAAUCCGAGUCGAAUUUGGGAGGCAAAUCGGAAUCAGAGCUGGUGACGGAGUGAGAUGAGGAAGAUGACUCUUCAGGUUCGGAAUCAGGAUCGGGCGGAGACUCGACGGCUUGGUCGAAGAAUCUAUGAAGAGCUGGACCAACGGUGUUAAGAGAGAGGAGGUAAGCGGAGUGAGCGUCGGCUAAGGCGUAGCUGCGGCGGAGUGUUUCCUCAAGAGAGUUGCAGCGGUCACGGCAUAGAGCGACGGCUGGUAAACCGUCGAGCUUUGAGGGAGAGCAUCCCAUAACGGUCGGCGGAGGCAAGAAUAAGAUGUGUGUUUUAUUACAAACUCGGAUUUGGCAUAUAUACAAAAAUUACACGACAAUAUAUAAUAAUUAGCGUACGUGAUUAAGGUUAGGUGUAAUUAAUUGGACAAGGACUAAUAUUCGCGGAUUAUUGAGACAUGUAAUUAAUUAAAAUUUUGAGAGUUACGUUCUCAAGACAAAAAAAACUCUGCUGUGGCGGGAUCCCCCACUCAAUAACGUCUAUAUUAUUUUUUUUUCCUGGUUUUCUUUUCUGAGUUCUAAAUUUUUCCUAUGAUCAAAUUUUUUUAAAUAACUAAAAGAGCACUUAUUUUUAAUUGUUGAAGUUUUGGAAAUUGACAGAAAAACAAUUCAUUGCUGAAUGUAAAACCACAUUACAUUUUUAAAUUGAAAAAUUCAUAUAGAGAAGUAGUGACACUUCUUCUAGAUAUAAGAAUGAGUUUUUGUUGUUGUUGUUCAGGUAGAUAAGAUGAUUACGAUACAAAUAAGAGCCGUUUUUUUCUUGUAGAUGGAAGGGACAUUUAACCAAACUUCAAAUCUCCAGGUAGUAAUUACAAUUAGUCAUUUUAGUCUCGUUCUUUAUGCUAUGGAACUCAAAGAACCAUGCAAUGUAAAUAUUCAACUUCGGAAUCAUUGAAGCAUAGAAAGUGGGAAAAGACGUGGUUUUACAAAAGUUAAAGCUACUUCAAAGUGAAAGGUGAAAAGUUAUAAAAUUACUAUAAAGUUUUGAGAUUCAAAGUAACCUAAAGUAUUUUUAUUUUUAUAAUGCAAUCAUGCUUUAAUAAAAGUGUAUAUCCUCGCAAUAACAUGCACAUGUUUAAGUUUCAUAUUUUAAUCUUGUUUUUUUUUUUUCUUUUUCCAACUCAAAUCUUACGAGUUACGACUUUAGCUUCAAACAAAAAUACGUACAAAGAACUGAAUGAAGUAUUUGUCAAGAUAUAAAUCUCUAUAUAACCUCACUGAUCAUCUCCGGCAUCAUCCCAUCUCCAAUUUACACACUUGAGCAUCUCUAUAUAUUCUUCAUGUCAUCAUGUGUAUUAUAUUCACACACUUGUAAGUGUCUCAUUGUCAACAAAGUGAUGAUUAAGUUCCUUUAUCAGUUUGUAUACAGUCUACACUAAUAGAGACUUUUUUUCUAGUAGUUAAGUUGUAGCAAUUUUACAGAUUAUUAAAAAAAAAUUCAAACAAAAGAUUGGUAGGAAAUCUCCUCUCAUAAGUGAUAAGUGUUAGCUUAAGGGUUGGGAUCAAAUAGUCCGAAAAAUAAUGAAGUAUAUACAGAAGUAUUGGACUAUUAAAUUAUUGCCAAUUACUCCAAGUUUAUCCAUUCAUCUUAAAAGUAUAUUAUAUAGAAAAAAUAAAGGUAUGUAGAUAUGGUGUACCAAAGAGCGUCUGUAUGCGCACGUCUCAACUUUGAAGUCGUCAACUUAAGAGUGAUAGUUGGGAUUUCUGGUUUUUGAGGCUUUUGAGAAAGAUAGGACAAAGUAGAAAAAAGGCAAGACUGAAAUAUACGUAUAACAAUGCACGAGAGGAUCUCUAGGUUUCCCUAAACGAGCCCAUCUGUUAAAAGAAGAAAUUUUCUUUUUAAGUUUUUUUUUUUUUCUAGUGCAACAAUAGAAAGGUAAAGGAAUGUUUCUUUUCUGGGGAUGGUGGAGAUCCACCUCCUCAAAUUUUGUCAUCUUACCACAACUUUUUACUACUUUUCUUUGCUAGGAUAUUCCCAUGCGUACGUAUUAUAUAUAUUCUAUACUUAAACAUGAUUUCAUUCACAACACCCGUACGUAUUACUGAAAAGACGACAAUAAUGUUAGUUAAUAUUUAGUGUCUUGCAUGAACGCAAACACAUGCUUUGGGGUUUCCACAAAACUGAUAGACAAAUACAUUUACAGUACAAAGUCGUAUGUUUUCAUUCAAAACAAAAACAUUGGCAUGAUAUUUGUACUGUUUAUUGACCUUAGAUAUGUAAAUUUAGUUGUUUGUCUUGGUGUGGUCGUUGAGAUACCACAUUCUCAUUCAUAUAUUACAUGUUACUAAAAAAAGCAUUGGUGCAUUUCUUUACUUUGGUCGAAAAGCAAUUCAAGUCGUCAGUUUUUAUGUUUUUAGUCCAUGGCUUCACAAAAAUCACUCAAAAAUAUAACAUCAUAUUUUAGUUAACGGUCAAAAGAUCAUGAAAGCAUCACGUACAUAUUGUCAGGGCUUUACUAAGACGUUGUAACAAACGUCAUGAUAACAUCCUCUUCUCUGAUGAUGGGUUCGUGAUUUUAUGCUCUUUUUAGUGAUCAAACAAAGUUAUAAACAGUCUUAACUAUUAGAACGGGGCCUAAUAAUACAAGUUUACAAGGACUCUAACUGGGUUGAUUCCAUUCCUACACCCCUUCAAAUGACCCGACUAAGACAUGUUUAGGAACAAGAACUACUUCAAAUGAAUCUUAGUUGUGAAAUUGUAACAGAGCCUCUAUUUUAUUAAUUGGGCCUGAAUAUGAAGAUAGGCCCAUUAUAAUCAUCACUAACUCGAAAUUAAUUUGGUCGUGUGCAUCAGCUUCAGCUAGUCUACCUGAAUCCGUGCGUCGGCUCAGGCGACAAUGCAAGGAGGAUCGUCGGGAAUUGGAUACGGUUUGAAGUAUCAGGUGAUUCAUCAUCUUCUUCCUCUUCGGAUCUUCGUUGAAACUUUAUUAGAAGAUUCUUUAAAGAAGAAAUGUAUUUUGUUUAUCAGGCUAGAUGUAUAUCGGAUGUGAAAGCCGAUACGGACUACACCAGCUUUCUAACAGGAACUCUAAGUCUGAAAGAAGAAAAUGAGGUGAACCCAUGUUUUGAUUGUAUGUCUCGUCUUCUAUUGAAUCUGGAAGAUACUUAAAGUUUUGUCCUUUUUUUGUUUCCACCAUUUUGAGAUACUUUAAAGGUUCAUCUUCUUCGUCUGUCAUCUGGUGGAUCUGAGCUGAUAUGUGAGGGAUUGUUCUCUCAUCCUAAUGAGAUAUGGGACCUUGCUUCCUGCCCUUUCGAUCAACGCAUUUUCUCUACUGUCUUCUCCACUGGUAAAUUCGCUCAUACUUGAGUAGAAUCAUAAGUUUUGUAUUGGCUGGAAGCUUGAAUGUGUCAAAAUCUCAUAGUGCUUUUUAUCUGUUAAGGUGAAUCAUUUGGAGCAGCGAUAUGGCAAAUUCCUGAGUUAUAUGGUCAAUUGAGUUCCCCACAAUUGGAGCGUGUUGCAUCUCUUGAUGCUCAUGUUGGUAAGAUUAAUUGGUGAGUUGAUGAUUUAUCUUUUCAGCUCUUUAUUGCUAGAGUGAUGCAUAAGUUUAAGACUUAUUUCCUCAUCUUAUGGAAGCUGACUCUCUGUCUUUCUUGUGGAAACAGUGUUCUUUGGUGGCCUUCUGGAAGAUGUGACAAGUUAAUCAGCAUGGCUGAACAAAAUAUUUUCUUGUGGAACUUAGACUGUUCAAAAAAGUCUGCUGAGGUGAUUUUUCUAUAAAAAUAUAGAGGCGAACUCGUUCUUUUUGGUGGUUUAGCCUCCAGGGUAUUCAGAUCUUUUGUAAGUUUUUUUCGUAAACAGGUUUUGGUUUAUAUAGGUUUUAUCUAAGGAUUCAGCUGGGAUGUUGCAUUCUUUAUCUGGUGGAGCAUGGAAUCCACAUGAUGUAAAUGCUGUUGCAGCAUCUGGUGAAUCAUCUGUCCAAUUCUGGGACCUGCGUACUAUGAAGUAUGGUAUCACUGUUGAUCUCCUCUAUUCCUGCAUGCACUUAGGAGAUUUUACGCAUCGAUAUUACUCACCCACGUUUGACAUUAUUACAUGCUCUCAUGGGGUUUCUAUGUCAACUUAGUGAUAUACUCUAAUACUGUUAGUUGCUUUUGGUUUUACCCUUUCAUAUCAACUCAUGUAUAUCUGCUGACUUUCUUUAUGUUGUUUGUCCAACGAAGGAAGGUUAACUCAAUUGAACAUGCUCAUGUACGCGGUCUUGAUUACAAUCCCAAGAGAGAACAUAUACUUGUAAGACUUUUCUCUUGUACCUCCAAAAGCACCGCAUAAUAAUACUCUAUUGAGUGGAAAUCAUUUGUAGAAAUAUAUGAUGUGCAUAUUUGUCUAGGCUGUUCUUUACAUCGUUAGGACAUAGGAGCAGAACUUAAUCAUUGGGGAACUCAACCUUUGGACUUAGUAUAAAAUUAUUAUCAUAUCUUUGCUGUGAUGGAUUAAACAUUCAGUUGUGUAUUAUAGAUAACUGCAGAGGAUGAAUCUGGCAUACAUGUCUGGGAUCUCCGGAAGGCGAAGGUUCCUGUCCAAGAGCUUCCUGGUCAUACACACUGGUAUGUUUGCUUUCGUUUCUUCGCGAACUUUUGUUUUUUUAUAGUAGCCAAGAUCCUUGAAUUUGAGCCUUUGUGUGUUUCUGUCAUAUUUUGAAGGACAUGGGCUGUCAAGUGUAAUCCUGAGUAUGAUGGACUGAUUCUGGUACUCUACUCUCUUUCUCCCUUGCUUUUCUUAACACAAUCAAAUCGUUCCAGUUAGUAGUUAUCUAUGCCACUCCCUGUUUUUUUAGUUGAAAUGUGCAGUUUAAUAUUUGGCACAUGCUUUGUUUUACUUUACAAAACAAAGCCUAUUCUUUAACUUUGCUCACUAUAUAAAUUAUGUCAACUCUGUUCCCUUCAAUUGAAACACAGAGCGCUGGUACAGACUCGGCUGUCAACCUGUGGUAUGCUUCAGCAUCAUCCAGUGAUGACAAACUCUCAGAAAGGUUGUGUCAAAUCUCAUGAUCUCCUCGCACCCAUGAUUUUCAUUUUUUUUUUCCAACAUUGUUUUGAUUCUAUUGUUAUAAUCAUUCUCAGCCCUGUGGAAUCCAUACGUCAGCGUGUGAACCCGUUGCUCAACUCAUACACUGACUAUGAAGACAGUGUCUAUGGUAAAAUUUCUUACUCCCUAUGAUUACCAUUAAUCUGGUGAGCCAAACAAUACUUAAUUCUGUUCCAUUGUCAACACAGGCCUUGCUUGGAGUUCACGUGAGCCAUGGGUUUUUGCAUCAUUGUCAUAUGACGGAAGAGUAAGUAAACAUUCUCUACCCCAUAUAAUCACAUGAUCAACCUGAGCUUUAUAUAAAGAACUUUGGGAAUUCAUCUGAUUAAUGUCUGUUGCUUGUAUAGGUCGUCAUCGAAUCCGUGAAGCCUUUCCUUCCGAGAAUAUAGUAAAAAGCUCAGCAGCAUCUCUUUUGCUUUGACCUACACGACCCAUCGAAUUCCUUGUUGGAAAAGAAGUUGUCACUAUUGUAUUUAAAAUAAUGUACUUUUGACACAAUCUUUGUGGAUCUUUGAUGUAUCUAUCUAUCUAUCAUUAGUCGGUACCAAGAUAUAUAGUUUCUCUGAUCUAAACACACUCAACGACUAAUUCUUGUCGGAAAAAGUAAGAAAAUGAAAUGGAAAAAGGGAUCAUUCUUCCUCGGAUUGGGUUUAUAUGUACAGAAGACACUGUUGAGGCAUAUGACCACAAUAAAAAGUUGAAAAACCGAUUUUAUAUCCUUCUAUAACUGAAUCAAUCUGACACUAUUUCUUCUAGCUCAGGCUCAUCUGAAAUUGAUGAUGCAUCAUCAUAAUCUAACCUCGUACCAUUAUAUAGUCCUCUGUCCUGUAAAUCAGUUUGGUCUUCCUCAUAAUCUGCAUCUUCAUCUUCGCUUUGUUCAUCAUUGCUUACUCCAUCUUUUUUGUUUUUCUUCCCAAGUUUUCUCGAAUCCAUAUUUCCCGCCUUUGCCUUAGCAUCAGUAUCUUCACAUAUACAAGUCGAUGGGUUCUCAUGAAACUCACCUCUACCAGCUCGUACUUCCUUUGGCUCUCCCAUGAAUCCUCUCUGAAAUGUUCUGACUCUUGAAGUAAACUCCUCCCAAGUAGCAUUCUCUUUGCUCAUAAACAACUUGUAUAGCUUUUUCGCAUUUGGUCUAAUUGUCGGUUUAUGUCCAAAAUAUCUCCUACAUAAAACCAAGAAUCAUUCAACACAAAAAAGCUAAUGAAGUAGAAAGAAGAAAGAUUAGCUUUGGUUAAUUAACUACCUUCGACCAGCUAAUAUUCUUGCCAUGUUUCCGUUAUUGUUGGUAACGAAAACAUCACUUUCAUCACACACAACGAAAUCCAGUGCAGCCAUUCGUGAAGAAUAAGAAGAAAAUGGCUUUAGCUCCAUUUUUGUUGCUAUGGUGUCUUUUGAAUAGAAAUGUGGGAAAAGUUCUUUCAGAGGAGCUAAUGAUUUUUCUCCUCCAUAAACUUCGCCUGAUGCAACAUAUAUGUGAACAUCACUCCCAUAUCCCAAAGCUCUAAGCAUCAAUCCAACUUCUUCUGGUGUAAGCGGACAUCUUCCUUGUCGCCUUUGCUUUUCCGGGUUAUUUACCUGCGAUGAGAAGUUCGUAAUAUUUAACUCAUUAAAUCCAACAAGAGAAAAAAAGAAGGCAUGCACAAUAAGAGUUGUAUCCCUACAUGUAAAGUUUUCCAUCUCCUUCUGAUUGUUCCCAACUCUUUCUUCUCCUGCUCACCACCGCCAUAGUAACAUCCCGAAAAGGCGAGCAUAUCAGGUUCAAAUCUAAGAUGUAAAGCAAUGAAGUGUUUGCUCUUUUUCCGCAUUCUUCGGACCAAUUCGUUACCCAUUUCAAUAAUUGGAUCAGUGAACUUAAGCGCAUGAUAGUUUACUCUACACCGCAGCUUCUGCAAAUCAUCUCUCAACUUGUUUGAAAGUCUGUAAUCAAAUUUAUUCAAUUGAACUGCCUGAAACAAACCAAAUCAUAUAUAAGCAUCAUAAAGGAAGAUGAAAUCAUGAAGCCUUAAGAUGGUAUAAAGCAAAAGGAUUGAGAGAAAAGCAUGAAACUUACAUGCCUUUUCUGAAGAACAGGUAAUACCCGAUUGAUAUAACAUCUCUCAUUGCAUUUUCUCGGUACACGCAUUCUGCUAGGGCUCCAAGUUCGCCCUCCUUUUUGUGGAAGUUUCUCUAUGAUUUUGACAUCUUUUGAGAGAAAUGACACAAACCAUUCAACAUCGAAAAUAUGCGAGAAGUCACUGCAUAAGAAAAACACAAAACUAAAUGUUACGAUGACGCUCAAAAUUUUGACUUUUACCAAAGCAAAAGAAAAUCUGAGCAUGAACCUGGCAUCUUUCCAGUAGGAUUUCUGAUCCAGCUUUGGAAUAACAAGUGUAGCAUUUAGAAUUCGUGCAGCAACAACAGCAUCUACAAUCUGACAAUCAGAACAAUACAUGGUGAAACUCAGAACAAAAACCUCUAGUAACAAAAAUAUUACCAUAGAACCAGAGAAAGCUAAAGAAACUUACUCCAGUUCGCUGUUGGUUUAAACCACCACUUGUGGCGAUUGCCAAGUAUCGAUCAUUUCUAGUAAUGGCUUUAGCAUCUGCAGUAGGACAAUCAAAUGUAGUGUGACUAAUAAACCUCCUGAAAUUCAAAAAUUACUAUUGGCUGAUUCUAGCUAGCUAACUAUAUCUCCAAUUGCAGAACAUUCAAGCAUUCUAAACUGAACUCUCUCUAAAUUUUAUAUCUCACUACACCAAAACAACUAAAAAGUAAAAAACUUUACGCACUUGGGAACUUGCUGCUUGCAUUACAGCAACCAUAAAAGAAUUCAGCAUUCCAAGAACGCCAUAUAUCACGAUCCGAUCUCCCUCCACUUCUCUGUUUCCGUUAAAAACAAAGACAAACCCAAAAGAGCCAAUAAGGGGAGAUGCAACAAAAAUCCACACUUUCCCACAAAAUCAACAUUACAAAAACCAUUUUGAGUAUAUAAAUCAUAUGCCAAUCAAAACAAUAUCAAACUUAAGAACCCUAACCGGAACGGUGAAAUCUACUGGUAUGCUCUUCUCAUCAUCGGCUCCAGAGAUAAUCCGCUUCUGCCAAUCAAAACAGAAACAAUGGCGUUAAGAAGAGAUCAGAAAUCCCAAAAAACAAUCUCUAAAAGUCCAGAGAGAGAGUGUGUACGGUGAUGCGGCGAUCGGAAUCAUCAGGAGGAGGUGAAAAAAUGGAGAGAAGAGCGAAGAGGAUGAGGAGAGCUCCAGAGACAGCGCAAAUUAGAGGGAGGAGACGACGGACACGGUUGUAGUAAUUGUAGCGCCGCCGUUGGAAAGCCAUUGAAGGCUACACGCGGCGCUUUUACCUUCGCCUCUACGCCAGAGAGAGAGAGAGAAGAGAGAGAGAGAGAUUGAGAACAAAACUCGGCUUCAAUGGAGACCAAAACACAAAAGUCUUGGUCUUUUAAAAACAGCGAAUUUGUGAUUCCCUCUGGUUUUCACGACAUCUCCAUCACCAUUACAAUCAUUACAGAUUCUCUCUCUCGCUUCAACCAAAGAUUGGAUUUUUAUAUUAUCAGAAAGAGAGAGGGAGAGAAAGGUUGAAUUUUUAUAUAUAUAUUAUUAUUGAGAAAUGUAGUAUUUUUUUUUGUUUUUGUGUUGGGACAGUUCUUAUAGAUUUCUGGGCUCUGAAAGAAAUGAGGCACCGCCUCCAGCACUUCGUUCUAACAGCUUUAUUUUUUUAUUUUAUUUUAAUUAUUAUUUGAAUUAAUUAAUGACUUUAAUUUGGUUUUAAAUGAUUUAAUACUUAAUUAAUCACUGUGAGCUGGAUUUGAUAGUCUUGCAAAUGCAAGUUAUUCUGUUUUUGCUGAUCUAUUUCGUUUUGAUUCCUGUGUUUGCUUAUACAUACUUAUCAGGACAUUAUUGUUUACUAAUAUUAAUAAUUGAAUUUCUCAAAAAUAAAUUAAGAGAUAAGAUUAGCAUUUUGUAAACUCUUUAACCAUAUUUUUCGGUGACAGUAGAGCCAAUUGCAAGCUUUUUUUUUGUUUUUGUUAAAUCACUUUAGAAACUUUAGAACCAUUACUGUCUCAAUUUCCAUAAUGGUGUAAAUAUUACUCUUUGCUUUAACAUUUGUAUCGUCCUUUACGAUUAUCUUCUUUAUUAGAAAUAAAAGAGAAUAUUUGAAAUUUUACUAUUUCGGUUGUUUAACUUUUGGCCAAAGAGUGUAAGUGAACAAAUAGCGUGAACUGCCAAGGAAAGUAUACUCUUUUUUGUCAUUUGUCUUUUUACACUGUUUCAGUUUGCUUUUGGUCUUGUCUCAAUCGCUCAACAUAAAUAUGGUGUGAUCCGGUUUUGAGGCAAUGUUUGAUUCCUACUCCAAAACCAAAAUCGGAAAACAAUCAACGGUUUUUAAGAUCAUCUAAACCGAGUAGGGUCGUCCGGUCUAGUUAAUUGAGCAAUCGUUGUGUAAAAGAGAUAGAUAACUCACACGCAAAUUGCAUAGAUUAUUAAGUUUUCAAUCGUUUGUUUAUCUUUACGCGUUCAUGGAAUUAUUACAAUUGAUAUGAUUCUUUCUUGACACACCUUACAAGUUUCAGUUUGAUUUCACCAUGUGAAAAUUUGUAUGGUAGUAAGUUCACUCAUUUCGUUGCAAUGUUAACAUCUAUACUUUUCUUGAAUACUAUAUACAUCGUAAUCGAUUACACAAAGAUUCAUCACGAUCAUUAAAAUUUCAUUACUGUUAGGUACCAAGAUUUGUUUAGUUAUAUAAAUAUAUUAUCUCUUUUGCUUACAUACACUUGUUAUGUGAGUUGUAUAUCGUACAAUGUCAUGAACACGACUUCCUAAGAACUACAGUCAUACUUUAUCUAGUUUUCUUACAGAAAAAUCGGAAUUUAAUAAACAAAUUGUACUAAAGAACAACAAAAAUAGUUAACUAAGAGACAGUGAUCCAAGGAUUGAUUCCCUUUAUGGAUAUUUAUAUAUAUCCACUUGCCAUCAGAUUCAACUCUCUAAGUCAGACUCAGAGAUCAGAAUGCUAGAGAUCUAAAAAUUUCCGGAAUUUCAAUUUCAUCCCGGUUAUAUUUAUUUUAGAAUACAACUUGUUUUAAGUUUUUCAUUCACACAACAUCAUCUCAUAGACAGUAGUAAAUUAUAACACAUUUUCAAGGAGAGAGGGAGUAACAGAAAAGCUCUUACCAAUUCAUAACUUGCUUUUGCCUUUCUUUGAUAAGCUUCCCAAAGCCUUAGCCUUAGCCCUGAGAACAAACUUCUGAACUUUUCCAGUCGAUGUUUUAGGAAGAUCCUCAAACACAAUACUCCUCGGUGCCAUGUAAUGCGGAAGCCUGUCUCUGCAAUAAUUUAUAAGCUCCUCCGCGCUGGCCUUAGACCCAUCUUUGAGCUUCACAAAUGCACAAGCAGUCUCACCCCAAUACUCAUCAGGCCUCGCAACUACAGCUGCUUCAAGAACACUAGGAUGGGUGAACAGGGUAGACUCAACUUCAAUGGAGCUAAUGUUUUCUCCUCCAGAGAUAAUAAUGUCUUUAGAUCGGUCUUUGAGCUCUAUGUAUCCGUCCGGGUGCUUAACACCUAAGUCACCACUCCAAAACCAGCCUCCUUUAAAAGCUUCCUUGGUUGCUUCAGGGUUCUUUAAGUAACCAUUCAUCACUGUGUUUCCCCUGAAGACAACUUCACCCAUAGUCACACCAUCAGCCGGCAAAGUUCUCAUGGUAACAGGAUCUUUUACUUGUAUUUCCUCGAGCCCCAAAUGAUUAACGCCUUGUCGGGCUUUCAUUUUCGCCUGUUCUUCUCUAGGCAAAGAGGCCCACUCAGGUUUCCAUGUACAGAUAGUGCCUGGUCCAUAAGUUUCAGUUAACCCAUAGGAAUGAAACAUAGAAAACCCCAACUCUUCCAUCUUGUAAAUCACAUGAGCUGGUGGUGGAGCAGCGCCGGUUACAAAAGAUACCUUCCUGGGGAGCGGUUUCUGCUCGGAUUCAGGAGCGUUGAUGAUCAUAUUCAAAAUUGUUGGCGCACCUCCCAUGUGAGUGACCUUGUGCUGGGAAAUAUUAUCGAAUAUAGCCUUGGCGGUAACAUUCCUCAAACAUAUAUUAGUCCCACCAAUAGCGGUAACACCCCACAAUAAGCACCAGCCAUUGCAAUGAAACAUGGGAUUAGUCCAUAGAUAAGUAGGCGAUGAGUGCAUUUCGUUGAGUAGAACCGCAGCCAGAGAAUUCAAAUAAGCACCUCUGUGACUAUAAACAACACCUUUGGGGCUUGAAGUGGUGCCUGAUGUGUAAUUGACGGAUAUAGGAUCACACUCAUCGGUUGGUCGUCUAACCUCGAAAUCCGGUUUCCCCAUGGAUACAACAUCUUCGUAUUCCAUCACAUCUUCAGACCUCUUCUUCCCUGAAACAGGUUGAGGAAGAGGCUCUGGGAUCAAGACUAGGAGCGGGACCUUGUCACCGUUCUUAGAGAGGAUGUCACAAGCUCCCUGAGCUAUUUGAAGAAACUGAUGAUCUGCAAAAAUCACUUUAGUCCCAGAAUGUCGGAGUAAGGCAGCUACAAGUGCGGAGUCAUGACGAAUGUUGAGUGUACAGAGCAAAGCUCCAACCAUAGGAACAGCAAAAUGCAAGUCAACCAUAGCUGGAACGUUCGGGGCCAACACUGAAACCUGAUAACUUUAAGAAAUAUAAUCACAACUUGGAAAAGUUUCUUACGGAUAAGAAAUAUUGAAAUCCACAAUCUCUAUACGAAGUACGAACACAAAAGAAAUCUCCAAAAAAAACUGCGAGACAAAAAAGGAAGGGAAGUGCUGACCACAUCGCUGGUGGAGAUCCCGAGCUGGGAGAGAGCAGAGGCGAUUCUGACGCAGCGGUCACGAGUCUGGCGCCACGUGUACUUGACGGAGCCAUAAACUACGGAGGUUCUGUCAGCAUAGACGACGGCAGAUCGAUCGAGGAAACUGAUCGGAGUGAGAGGAACGUAGUUGGCCGGAGACUUGAUAGUUCCCUCCAUUAUCUUUGUUUUUUCCGCUGGAAUAGUAGUACUAUAGAUAAUUCUUUCCCUUUUCGAAAAUCAAAUCUAGCCUUAUCGUAUCCCUUAUUAUGUAAUACUAUAGCAGACAUCUUUUUGGUUUUUGCUGGCUAUCAGACUAGUACCACUAGUAACGUUGUGGUCUACAGCACAUGUUCUUUUUGGUAUAACAUCAGAGUUAGGUAGAAUGACGUCAUCACUAUUUUCUUGCAAACACCUUUUACAUGUGUUUCAUUUUCUACACGAGGCACAUAAAAUUUUACAAACUGAAAAUAUUUAGAGCUUAGUUGAGUUUACAUAAAUGCACACAUUCUCACAGUAUCUAGUUAAAAACAGUGGCUUUAAAAAAGUACCUAUGAACUAGCAGCUCAAGAAAAGCCUUGAGACUUGAAGAUCAACGAUGCAGCAUUUGUGAUUUAGUUCCAUGGACAUCAGAUCUGGCAGUUCAGCCCCUGGAAGAUUUUGUCUCUGCUCCAGAAACAGUCAUCAAGCUUCUAGUGUCAGACAUGUAGUGAUAAUUGUAAUUGAUUCUGGUCACUAAAUCAGCCAAGUGAGGGAAGUGUCCCACAUUCAGCUUCGAAGACAAUACCUGCAUGUUCAAUUUCCCAUUCUCAUUAAAUUCAAUUAAGGUUUCACAAGUGCUCAAGAGUUUUAGUUAAGUGGCCUUACCCUAAGGAGGAAAGCAAUACAGUCCUCAAACUGUUUCUCAAUCCUGUCUAUUUCCAUUUCACAUCUAGCCUUCAUCGCUGAAACUGCUCCGCCGCUGCUCAGAGUCUGUUGUAUUGAGUAGAAUUCUAGAGCUAAACCGAGAAUCAUGUUGAUCCGACUUGCGAUGAUUGCCCACUAUACCAAAACCACCAAACUCUUGGUUUUAUAGCUACGAAUUCAAACUUUUGUUAUGCAUUUAAGAAUGGAUCAUUACCAGCUUUUCUUGUACCACAAAGCAUUGCCUCUGAAUCGAUAACAAGUAGGUCUCAUGUACAUAUAUGACCUCAUCUAGAGACCCUGCUUUUACCAUAGAUUCACACAGCUCACGCCAUGCGGUGUGAUAUACCUGUUAACAAAAUCCAGUUAAGCCUGACAAACUUUUCAUUUUAUUUAAGAAGUUCACACAUAAACAGCAAUUGCAACUAAUUAUUCAGCAUCAAACAAUACCCUGUCCAUUACGUAUUGAUGGAAAGCAUCCACAAAAUUGAGGAGCUUUUGUUCCAGUAACCAGUGGUGCUUGCGGAUUUUUGUUGCAGAGCCUUUACCCUAUAAUUCACACACACCAAGAGUCACUAACUUUAUCAAAACUAAACCACAUUUCUUUAUAUCCUUAUUGAUUAGGCUCUUUGAAACUAAAUUCAAAUGUCACAUGAAACACUUUAAGAAGAAAGAAAUGAGUUAAAGACCUUCCACAUCCACCUUCGUGCUUUAUCAAGCACAUAUUUUGCUCGCUUGACCUUCAACAAAAAUCCCAUCACCUGUUUCAUUUAAAUUAUCAACACAGAACAGCAAAAUAUUUCCCCAAAAAUAGCUGGAUAAUCAACAGAACAGCGAAUAUUUCCAAAAAAUAGCUGGAUAAGAAAGGGCUACCUGGUUAUACUUCUUAAUGGCCUCACUAUUGGCAAUAAGCUCAAGCGGCCAUGGCACCUUAAAAAAGAAGAUAGUUCAGACCUUUAAAUACACAUAUGUGUAGCCCAAGUAAUAUGCCAAAACGCAGCAUCUAGGUGGAAGACUAAUAUGUGUUUCUCUAGACCUUGUAUGUGAAUUUGAGAGAUUCAAGACAAUCUAUCCCAAAGUUGUUAGCACGGCUUUUACGAGUUGAAGAAAGUGGUAUUACGUCACCCUUGUCAUCUUUGUCUCUGUCUAAACAAUCUUCUCUGGAAAUAGAUACCACCAAUGAAUCAGGACUGCUUAACAACGUGGCAUCAGCUGAAUUUCUAAUUGAUUCCUGUAGAUAAUCAUGACAAUUUGGAAUUAAGCAUGUCUGUCUGUAUGAACACAAUAUACGACAAUAGAAAACAGGGAUACAGAAGCAAACAAUUAACAACCACAAUCUUUUACAAGUGAUAACUAUAAAGAUGCAAGCAGUGUUUCUAGAAAGAAGUUCAGGGAAAGUGGUUACCUGAAGGAUUAUGUUCAACUCAAAAUCAUCAUUCGAUGACUCUCCCUUGCCCAGCCUAUCGAAUAUGACAGUCAGAAAAUGCUGCAGAAGGUCCCCUGAAUUUUUUAAAGGAUUUAUCAAGAUUCCAGAUGAAAACCUAUUGCCAAAGAAGUUGAAGCACAUAAAGCAUACCUGAGCCUAACAAGUAAAUGGCACGCAACACUGAAAGUUCGUGCAUCAAUUUCCAAUCAUUCAUUAGUCUGGACAAGAUCACUUUGCCAAUGUAGUCCGUCUACAACACAAAAAUUUCAGAAGGUAACAAAAGUAUGAAGGCUGUAGCAAAUAAUGGCAAUGCAAAGCUUACAUCACAGUACCUGCCUCCUGACGUAGAUUGCGAAGCAUUCUUGCAAUAUUACAACAGGAAGUGGAGUAUCCCUUGGCUCUUCCUUAAGCAUCCAGCUGAGAACUUUUGAAGGAAGUGUACUAUUCUUUUGAAAAGGUAAGAAUUCUGACAUAUGGAGCUUUGGCUUUAAUGUUUUUUUUUUGUUGAUCACAAAGAUGUUUAAAAAAGGUAUCAGAAACUAUUGCACAUGGGAGAAAAGUAAGGAAUGGAUAUAAAUUAUCGUAGAAUCAUAAGUAUGAAGUACCUGGGAUGACGGAAGCAAAGUGGGAAAGGGAAAUAACGUUUCUAGAAUUUUGGUGUCAUCCUGAGAAGAAAGAUACUCAGAUAUACCAAAUUGAAAUCCAAAUUUGUAGUUUGUUCCGCUCAAUCCAGCAUCUGCCACGCCAGAUCCCUCAAAAACAGCACUCAACAAACUCUCAUCAUUUAGAGAGGGUAGACAAUAGUUUUGUGAUAAGUUCAGGGCAUUCCAAGCAUUUUUAUUCCUCUGAAGAUCUAGUUUAGAGACUGAAACAACAACGUUUUCAUGACAGAAUAACCCUUGCAAUGCCUUCUCGGCGGCGAGGCCAUUUUUUCCGUUCCCAACACAAUUAACAUAACACGCACUUUGGUGUUCUAAUUUGGUCUCCCUAGAUUUUUUCUCUUGCACAGCACCAACCAACAACUUAUACCACACUCGAUCUGAGUAGGUGUGAACUGGAAGAUCUUUAUCACCCAUGCCAUUCACCAGCUCUCCACUUAUAUAUGAUGCUAAAGUUGGAGAAAUCUCCCACUCAUCCACCUCAUCUUUCCAGAGAUAUCUAGAUACAUGAUCGCCGUAGCCUGUAAGGCCAACAAGUGAUAGACAAAAGAUUUCAGACAAGGAUAAGUCUGCAGUGCUUCUAAACUUUUCAGCGAGUAUGGCACUGUCCAAAUUCCGACCAUGGUACCGAAUCUUUCCAGAAACUUCCGGAGACGUGGAAGGAAUAUGCUGCAUCAGCUGCAGUGACUUUCCAGCAGAAACAAUCGACUUACAGAUGUCUUUUAUGAAUAGUGGGCAUAACACCCGAUUAUUCUGGUCCUUUUCUCUAUCAGAAACUGAACUGGAGUCAUUUACAUUCAUUCCUUUCUUUUGAUUUAGCUUAGUUACAUCUGAAUUUGGACCCGGCACCCUCGUCAACAGAUAACUUUUCUCCCAAAACUCUGCAUCGUCAACAGAGACUGAUUGGUUGGCUGUAAAGAACAACUGCGAAGAACAAAAUUUAAUCUUCACCUCAACCAAAGAGUUUAUAUACGCAAACUUUCAAUUUGCUAGCAUUGUAAUGAAAUACUUGAUAUGGAAGAGUAAACUGCUAGAAGAAAAUCAUGGAACAUAAAUACAUUUCCGAGAACACCUACCUCUUCAAAAGGAUCAUCAAGAGUUCCUUCAAACAACCAUGAAUCCAACCCCUCUAUAUAUGGCAAUAAACUUCCAGCAAAUAUUUGCAGCAGCAUGUGAAAUCCUCCCACCUGGUCCAAAUAUUAUCAAUAAACCAAUUAUAAAAUUGAGUAGCAAAAAAGAGAAACACACAAAAACUCAGGAAAGCCGUCACAACCUCACCACCUUGUACAAGGCAUACUUCAUCUAGCCUCUUGUAAAGGUAAUCAAGAACGUGGACAGCAAUUUCAGCUGUCGAAAUAGUUGAACUUGACUCAAAGUACGCAUGAGGGAGUGCACCUCGUACAACUUGUAAGAGAUAUUCAGCACCUGAACACAGACUAGCAAAUCAAAGGAAAAAAAAUGAAUACUGAUAUAUAAUAUAACUCUUAAACUGAGAAAGAGCAUCCACUAAAUAAAAGUAUAUAGGCAACACACCUAGAUAAAGAGCUAGUUAAUCCCAAUAGGGUUGGAGUGACAGUAACAUCAGAAUUGUUGAUCUUCACUUCUUCGUUCAAAGCAAUAUCUCUGAGUCUCUGUUCCAAUACCACUUGUAUAAUAUCAGUCUCCAGACAACAAAUGUUCAAGAACAUAUUUAUUUUUUUGUAAAGAAAAAAAAAACGACACUAGAAGGGAGUUAGGGAUAACUUGCCUCAAGCCAAGAAGAGACAGAGGUAAAAAACGCCAUUAAAGUAGGAGGAGAUCUAAGAGAGGUAUUAAUUCCAGAAACAAUAGACUCCACAAGCUUCAAACAUGUUGCAGCAUACAAAAAUCCAGAGAGGAGAACAUGAAGGCUUGACUGAGACAAAUGAGAAACUCGUAUCUCACUUUUAGGGAGGAAUGUUUGUUCCUUUUGGUGCCAUAAAAUGAAGGGACUAGAGAAACCUUGCAAAGCUUGUAAGAGACCUCUCACCAGAUCCAAUUCAUUCACGCUCACUGAGAGACGGGAUACUUCUGAGCGUGUCCAAACUCUGCGACUGCACAUCGUUCCCGGAAUUGGGGUGUCUAAGCCAGCACGAUCUACUGGAAGCAACGACUCCAUAACUGCGUUCAGCUACUGUAAAUUUUGAUUUUCCAUACCACAAUUGACUCUAGGAGGGAAAUCGAAGAAGCUUGCUAUGAAUGAAUUUGGGAAAGAGAGAGAGAAAGAGACUGAGGGCGAGAGAAAAGGUCUCUAAUGGGCCUAUUAUACUUCUCCACUUAGCCCACCAAAAUAUAGGCCCAUCGUAGUUAAUUAUAAUUACCAAAGUUGUUCGGUUUUAUUUUUCUUACUUAAAUUAAUUGAUUCAACCGACUAGCAAUAAGAAAUAUAUAUACCAAAAACAUGUCCCUUUUUUGAGACGAAGAGAAUUCCGAGAGAGCUAACCCUAAUUUUUCACGAUGAUGCAGAAUCUGAGAAACGUCUUAACUCGCGGAGGGAGAUCCAUGGGGUCUCGCAAUUUCUCUUGACCGCCUGGGUUGGGAGCCAGAGUUCGGAUUGUAGUGAGAGAGCCUACUAGUACAGUAGCUAAUGGUUAUGUUGUAUGUGCAUUGCUUGGAUAUGCGUAUUACAUUGUCUCCGGAGGUAUGGAGAUAAAAAAAAUCGCCAAAGCGGAGGAGGAAUAUCUCCAACUCCGGAUAAAACGUCACAAGGAACUGGUAGACAAGGAGUGGCGUGAUCUGGAGCUCAUCGAGAAGCCAUGACUAAAGUUUGUGUUUAGUUUAUUGCGUGUGUUUUGACGUGGAAAAAAUAAAUCCAUGGCUGUGUGUGAUAUUGCAUUUUAUAUUUAUGUGUGUUUGCAUCUUCCCAGGAUCCCUCCUCUCUUUUGAGAUGAAAUAUUGCAUUGUUUUUUUUCCAUUUAUAUUUAUGGAAUUCGCACCUUGUGUCAAAAAUAUAUAUAUAUAUAUAUAUACCAGAGAAAAUUGUUAAAAUUUAACUAGAGAUAUUGUAGCCAAUUGUUUCUACAUUGCAAACUAUUUUUGGUUGAUUAAGGAUUUUAUCAUAUGAAAAAAUGUCUCAAAUCAGCAGCAUUCCAAAUGAACAACGUCUAUAAUAUGAACUUUUGGGUCUCAAAAGAUGCAGUUCUCUGAAGUCAAAAGCUAAACUGAAGUUUCUAGAAGACAUGAUCAGAGUUCAAGUAUUAAGGGAAUCUAUGAUGCAAUCGAAGUAUAGAAGUUAUAAAGAGGGACUUGUGUCGUUGAGUUGCUUGGUGUUUCUUAAGUCGUGAGCAGGAGAUAGACAAGGCCUUUUAGAUAUUCCACUAUUUCAGAUCCUCCGAGCUUCGAAGUUCCAAAGACUCUGUCAACAAAUGUGAUCGGUACCUGCAGAUGAAGAUGAGCACCAGAGAAUCAGAAUUAUGAAUGGUCUAUAUAGUUUAAAAGCAAUCAUAAUCAAAAGUGAAAGAGAGACCUCUUCAAUCUGGUAUCCUUUUCUGGAAGCACGAACGAUCAUUUCCAUCUGAAACACAUACCCUUUACUCACACAUGAGCUAAUCACAUCUUCAAGCACCUCUUUCUUGUAUAGCCUUUCAAAUACGGUCUAGCGGUCAGUCAUAAAACAAUCAAAUGACAUCAGUAAAAAAGAUGCACAUAUGUUUAGUUGAUUUUUACCGGAAUGACCCAGUUAAAUCAGAUACACCAGGCCACAAAAAUGUUUGAGCUAGCACAUUUGCUCCUCUACUAGUGAGUUUCCGCAUAAGAUUCCACCCGUGUACACCACCACCUUUUACAUAUCGUGUACCAGUUACUAUACUUGCAUUUGUCUCUAGUUGUUUCCUUCGUGAUUAAAAAAACAACCAGUCAGUUGAAGACAGUCACUAUAGCUUGUGAAAUCAUUAAGAGAUCAAGAGACUCUUCUUUUUCUUACUUGAUGAAACUUGGCAAGUAUUUUGGCUGCACAAGAGAAAAGUAGCUGGGUUAGCUCAACAACUAGACAAGUAAAUAAGAAACCAAAAUUGGUGGCUCUUACAUGAUGUGAAAGAUCAGCAUCCAUGAUUACAACGAAAUCACCACUGGCAUACUUCAAACCAUGAAUAUAUGCAGUUCCUGAGAUUGAUCAUGCCAAGAAUAUUAAUUCCACUUCUGGCUAAGCAAAAGUAGAAGACGAUGAAGAUACAAAUUACAUACCCAGACCAAGCUUCUUGGCUCUAGCUCUUAAAAGCUGCAUCAUAAAAAAAGACAAACACAGAGUUCACCUAAACAGAACAAGGCACAAUAAUCUAAAGGCUUAGGCCUUAACUCAGUCAUUGUACUUACGAUGCGGUCUUCACCAUACAACUUCUGUAGUUGCAUGACAAUUUCUUGUGUGCCAUCAGGACUCCCGUCAUCCACAACAACUAUCUCGAAAUCAACAUCCCUAUAUCAUAUAAACAAGUGGCCAAGCAAAUUCUCAGUAACUUAUGACAACUAAAAUAAUGCAAUCCUAUUAACUUCUUAUAAGCAACCACAACCAGAAUUGAUCUGAGAUUAGCACAAUUAUCAUUCUCCGGUCACUAAACCAAAAUUUUCAAAAAGAUGACAUGAAAUCUCUCCUAUAUAGUUCGAGGGAUCACUACAUUGGCCUUUACUAGCUCAUGCGCACAAACAACAAUCACGAAUUCGGAUCUGCACGCUACAGUUUAAAAAACAUUAUUAUGGGAUCCAUAAAUUCUGAUCUAGGAGAAAAAAAAAACCCAGAUAUACUCACUGACGAUCAGAUUUGAAUUUAAGCAUUCAGUCAAAUAGGAUUCAGAGUUCGAACAGAAUAAAAAAGAAAAGAGAAAAGUAUGAAAAAACAACAACACCAGACAAUUCUUCGCAAACCCGAUUUUGAAAUUAAAGAAGAAACGUGAAAAGAUCAAAUGGAAAUCAAAUAUUACCGGAGAUGCUUGAAAAUCAGGUAAACUAUGAUAGCUAUGUUGAGGCGCUCGUUGUAGGUGGGAAUGAUUAUGCUAUACUUAUACUUCUUCUCUCCGUUGUUCUCCUUUUCGUCCGCCAUAUUUCCCGGCGAGUUUUGCAGCCGUGCCUCCUUCGUCUUUUUUAACCCGUGAAAUCAGUCGUCGUCGUCUGUACAAAAAUACGGAUUAAAAAUACAGUUAAUAUCAAAAUAUAGGGACUAGAAAGCAAGUUUCUCAUAUUGGGCCUAAUAUAAUAAACGGGCCUAAUUUAAAGCCCGCAAUUAAACUAGAAAAGCUUUAAAACAGGUAAAAUCGUCCUUACCAUCUGAAUCGUUCUCUCUUUCCUUCCGCCAUUUUUAUUUUCUAGGUUGCAGAGUUAAGGGGAAGGUUUUUAAUUAGGGUUUUGCCGAGAGAGAGAGAUGAGCCGAAGUUUGGGAAUACCGGUGAAGCUUCUUCACGAGGCCUCGGGUCAUAUCGUGACGGUGGAGCUAAAGAGCGGUGAGCUCUACAGAGGAAGUAUGAUUGAGUGUGAGGAUAACUGGAACUGCCAGCUCGAGGAUAUUACUUAUACCGCCAAGGUAAUCAACUGUUACUUAGAUUAUCUCGAUUCAUUUUAUUUUGAGAUUUUUUAUUUGAAUUAUAGGUUUCGUUUCAAUAUUGUUGUUGAUUUUGGUGCUGUGAAAACCCAGAUUUGGUGAGCUGGGCAAAGUAGCUUGGAAAUUUUAGAUUGCUUCUUAUUUAGAUUUGGAAGUAGGAUUAAGUAUCCUUAAAGUUCUUGUUCUAUAAAACCCUAGAAUUGGUAAUCCUGCUAGUGGCAUUGUUAAUUUUGACUCUUAAGGUAUAGUACUCCUCAUUGGUCAAGCGUAUGAUUGAUCUAUGAGGACAUACGUUUCUCCUUAUAAAGUUUUAUACAAAGACUAAGUUGCUCUUUAAAAAAACAGUGGUCAGGUAAUUAGAUAAUGUGAAUUUUCUGAAGUUUGCAAGUUUCAAAGCUUCCUCUUCUUGUUGAUUGUCACUUGACUUUUGUUUUGGGUUUUCCAACGUUGUAUUACAGGAUGGUAAGGUAUCUCAGCUUGAGCAUGUCUUUAUUCGAGGCAGCAAAGUCAGGUGCUGUAAACACUUCUCUAGACCUGUGCUCAUUUCCUGUUUUACAUGGUAUCAUUCUUAGUAAUUGACAUAUGGAGAGAUCUUGACAGGUUUAUGGUCAUACCAGACAUUCUUAAGCAUGCUCCAAUGUUCAAGCGUUUAGAUGCUAGAAUCAAGGUAUUUACUUCCUGAACCCUAGACGCAGAAUGAUAGUAGAGUCUUUAUUUAGAUCCGCAUUAAACUUAGUAGCUUACUUGCUUAAUCAACGUAGGGAAAGAGCUCAUCACUGGGUGUUGGCAGAGGUAGAGCUGCAAUGAGAGGAAAAGUAAGUUCACUCUCUCUCAUGAUUUAGUGUUCUUGAACUCAAUGUUAGGAAGUUUCUUGGAAGAUUUUCAGCAUAUUGAAAUAUCCCGUUAUCCCUUAAUGCUUGUUUCUUUCUUGUUACCACUAAUUAAUUGAUUCUUGAAUCUUUUGUGAUGUUAUCUUAAAGCCGGCUGCUGGGCGCGGAACUGGAGGAAGGGGAGCGGUACCACCUGUUAGGAGAUGAUUGAAUUUAUGUCCAACAUGUAAGCUUUGAUUCUGAGACAGUCUUUCUGCAAUAUCCAGGUGAAAGCCGCGAUUCUUGGUUCUGUCAUUUAUGCUUUAAGGGUACACUGUAAAACCAAACAAGAGAGAACGAGAGAUAUGUCCAGAUGCACCAGUCGUUCUGUAUUUUUGGGUACCAAGUAUGUUUGAACCAGUUGACAAGUUUUCAUUGUGAUCUCGUUUAGAUUUGCGCAUUCUCCAUUUCUGGUAGUAGUGAAUAAAGCAAAGCACACUGUUUUUAAAAAUGGUCUUAAUAAGACAAAGCUCGGCUAAAUUGAAAGAACAAGAUAAUGAACACUAGCAGUAGAGACCAUAGAUUCACCAAGCAAGCAAGAAUAUAAUUUAUCCAAUAGCUGUCUAACAAUUUGGAUGAUUAUUUGGGAAAAUACAAGUAUCUUUACCAAAGAGAAAACAAUAUUGAAUUAACGUCUGCUGACAAUUUUUGCCAAUUUUCCCCAGCAAAACCAUUCAAGGGUUCGUUAUACAACACAUUCUAAAGAAACUGCACAUUAAAAGAAAAAAGUUUGUUUAAAUGCUUAAAACGUAGUGGUUUUCUUACAUUAUUGUAAUGGUGUUCUUGGUGUUCUUUGUUUAGAUGUAAACCUUUUUUUUUUUUUUUUUUUGUCAUCAAUGAUGUGUAGCAAUGUGGGUCAUAAAGUUAUGCGUGAGUUCUGUGUAACAAAGUGGGUCAUAUAAUAUCCCGGAGCAAUUUUUACAACAAAUACAUGUAGUGAACCGAUGAUUGCUUCACAAGUUGAAUAUAGAAAGUUGAACAUGAUAUCCUAAAGAUUUGAUUGCAUCUUUUAUUUCUCUCUUAAGUGAAGAAAGAUCAAACGUUGUACAUCUCCCAUUUGGGCAACUUAAAUUGCUCUAUCUCUCUUUUCUUCCCCCUCUUACUCUUUCAGUUUUGAAAAGAAAACUCGAGUCAAGUCAUAUUAUAUUCUUAUUAUAGUUUUUUACUCCAUCAAAGCAGAAACCCAGCUGGUUCAGUUCUUGCAGCAUGACAGAACUUAGAUGUGUUGUACUUCCUGUGAACUCCUGUUAGCUUCCCUGUUCCUGCCUUGUGAUGAAAAGCAACCAUCUUUCUUGCACAUGCCCUGAGAUAAGAAAACCAAAACCCAAUUUUCAGAAUUCAGAUGAUCUCAUAUGGAGUUUUUAAAGAGAUGAUGAAAACCAUGGAUGUUCUGAAUCUUACUGUAGCUGUUCUUCUGUGUAACCUGUGUGAAACUCACAGGUUUUGCUCCAUUCUUCAUAUCCCUUAAGUGUACACUGAGCAGUGUAGAUUGCUGAGGCCGCUAGCUUAGAUGGAAGAUACUCCAGCAUCUCAUACUCCACAAGGCAAAGCUCGAUCAUAAAGAAAGAUAAAACCUCAAGCUGAAACCAAAAUUGCAUACCACACAGGUUUAGAUAUAAGGCCUGAUGGUAUCCGAACAUAAAGAUUCAAGCCUUUUAAUUAUGGAUAUAUAAACCUUUUUGUCAGAUUGGGCAGCUUUGAGAAAUCGUUUCAUGAAAACAUAUGGAGUUGGUAGAGAGAAAUUGAAUUGCAAGGUGUUGGCCAUUAGCUUCUCCUGCAAUAGAAACCAAAACAGAUUAAUUAAAACAGUGAAGCAUCAUCCUAUGGUAAUUAAUGAUCAAGAGAAAGUUGUAUUCACCAUAUCUAGCACUUCUCUUCUAGUGUAAGCUUUGUCAGAGAUCAGGAUGAGAUCAUCCACUACCGGAACUGACACUUCUUCGUAUUUACAAGCAAGCAACAACGCAGUAACUCCAACUAGCUGAAGCUUUUUCCUCACGAUCUGAUGAACUGCAAGGAAUCUGUCGAUGACAUUGAUUGUGAGAUAAAGAGUUUCCUCCAUCAGCUCAAACUUGUAGUGCACCUGCUCAAAAUAAUUUUCCAUUUUAAUUUUCUCUUCAGGCACAUUGAAACAACAACAAUGACAUUAGAAUAGCUUUUGUCUGGAUCUCUCUACCUCAAUCAACCAGUCAAUGAGGAUUCCUCUCAUUCUCUCAUUAAGAUCUUGUUGAUUGUCCAUAUAGUUAGGAGCUACGCAACUAAGUGUCUGCAGAAUCAUUAAGAAUUAAUCAAACAUAAGUACAAGUCCUUGAAACUAGAAACGCAUUAAUGAUGAAGAACAGAAAAGCAAAAAUUUGCGUUGAACAACACCAAGUUACCUCAGAUUUCCUGUAGAAAGUAUGCAUAUCAUUGACAUAUUCAACCACGGCUAAAGGAUUCUUCUCAUCACAGGCGUCAAUAUCGAUCACACGCUCUUCUUCUUUUUCUGCAUCUUCCAUUUCAAUCUCCUCCUCCUUUCGAAAGACACAAGCAAAAUGAGUACCUCUAUUGACACUUCCGUAAACAAAAGAAAACAAAAAAAAAAAAGAUUGAGGAAAUAUGUAUACCAUCUGGUCAAUCUCCUCCAGCAUUGCUUCAGUGUGUUGUACAAACAUUGGUUCAUUAAAGUCACCACCUUCUUCCUUAUCACAAUCAUCCACAUCAAUGACAAUCCUCUCUGGUUCUUCAUUUGAAACCGAGUCUGGUUUCUU
rnacentral:lncRNA from 1 species